UUGACGGUGGCUUAUUAGAAGUCCAAAUUGGUUGAGAAAGUAAUGUCCACCAAUUUUAGCAGAUACCCUUUUGGAUAAUUUUGAACAGAGCACUUAAUUGUUAAUGACUAGGGCCCCAAGGGUAAGUUCUAGGUAUGUUACCUUAGGCCUAAAAUAACCCUUUUGUUGUGAUGAUCUUUAAAGGGUGACCAAGAACGUACAAAAUUUUGUUCAUUAAACCAUAUUGUAGAGGCUAUCGAAAGUUUGCCUGCACCUCCAGAAAUCAAGGAUCCAUCGCAGAGGCACAGAGGAGAUGUUAGUUACUUUAUUUGCACAAGACCUGGGAGAGGUCCAGUUGUGCUGUCAGAUGAAAGUCAAUUUCUUCUCGACCCUGAAACUGGGUUGAAGAAGUAAGUUCAGAAGCAUUAUCUUUCUUUCACGGUGUUCUGUUCCUUCUCAGGCCAAUUCAAAUGGCUGUAUGAGCCAGAAGUAAUUCGUUUCGGAUGAUCCUUUUAGGCUGAACCCAAGAAAUGCCUUAAAAUGAUUAUCUGAGUUCAUCGCAGUUGGACAGUUUCUGUUGCUUGUUUCAUGUAUCUGUAACUUGCUUUUUGCUGUUUUAAGCCAAUUAUGGUCUUUGUACUCAUUGUCUUCAGCUUCUCGUGAUCUUUUGGCAGCAUCGCCUGCAACUUCUCUAUCUCUCUUUCUCAAUCUCGUCAAGCAUUUGAACAUAAUGGCCAAAUUUCAUUGUAAAUUAAUUACGUGCCACAGCAUGUCAUGAUGAAAUAAACAGCAGUGAUUGGUGCAGUAAACCCUUUUAAUGGUUCCAUAUAUCAGUCUGGUCUUUCAUAAUCUUUUCUAUGAUGAUAGAAUGCAGCAGGUUUCAAUAUUUUCUGCAUGAUACAUUAACAUCUUCAUUUUCAAUGUGAUAAUGUUAUGUUCAUUGCUUUAAAAGAAAUGAAACUUCCCCAUUUUGAAAGAAAUGAAACUUCCCCAUCUUCAUUUUAGAUGUUUUUUUAAUGACUUUUUUUGUGCUACCAGGAGCAGAAACUGAGUGGGGAAAUUUGAUUAAAAGACCAUUCAUUCGGGUUCCUGAGAUUGGAAAUGGGAAGUCUUUUCCUUACUCGAUUUCAAAUCUAUGUUUGGAACAGCUAGCCAAUAUGCUACUGAAACCUCAACUUCUUAAUCAUGCUGGAACUUUAGCUGCUCUACAAACUAGCCCACGGCCUAUGCAGCCGCCUUUGGAAUCAUUACUUUACCACUCCCAACAAACUGAUAUGCCUCAUUCAGAUUUCAAUAGCAGAAAUGGUUCGCUUCCAUUCCUAGACAAUGAUGAAUGCAUAUUUUUCCAGUCUUGUCAACCCUUUGCUGGGUGUUGAAAUAUAAGUAGUCAGCUGAUAGAAAAUGUAACUAAACCUAUUUAGCUAAUGGUGUAUUCACUUAGUCACUAAAAUGACAGGUGUUAGGCUUGAGUAGUGAAAGGCUGUACAAGCCACGUGUAAUGUUUCUAGAAAGCAGUUUUAGAUGAAGGGCUGUGAUACAAAGCAUGUAAUUGUAUCCAGCUGGUCUUUCUAACUAAAAUAUAGCACACACAGAGUCUGCUCUUUUCGAUUAGAGUAUUGAAAUACAAAGCUUCUGUUGAAUCGAUUCUUUGUGUAUUCUCUUUGCUCUCUCCACUAUUCUUCACAAAACUCGAACAUGGCCUCAGAGCCAGGUUGGAUCAUUUAGAUCUAGGCGUAAUCUGUGAAGUCACUGAGCUCAAUUGAAGCUCACCUGAAGCUCUGUUAAGCAUCUGAGAAGAGAAAUUAAUUGAUUUGAACCAAAAGAUGUCUGGGUCUGGAGGCUCGGAGGUGAGGACGCCAAUUUUCUCCGGUGAGAACUACGAGUUCUGGAGGAUUAAGAUGGUAACGGUUUUCAAAUCUCUUGGACUAUGAAGUCUGGUAGAAAAGGGGAUUCCAACCCUGAUUCGAAGAAGAAGAAGAAAGCUGAAGAGUCAUCGGAAGAAGAAGCUGAUGCAGAGAUGAUCGUUGUGCUCAUGAAGGAUUGCCAACGCCGACUCAGCCAAAAUGGCAUGGAAUCUGCUCUAUAGUGAAUAUCACGGUGGUGAUCAGAUCAGGUCAGUGAAACUUCAAAAUCUCAGAAGUGAAUUUGAAUCUAUGAGAAUGCGUGAGAAUGAACCUCUAACUGCAUAUCUCACCCGGUUGAAUGAAUUGAUAAAUCAAAUGAAAACAUUUGGAGAAGUGCUAUCAAAUGAAAGGCUGGUUCAGAAAGUGUUAAUUAGUCUUAGUAAAGUAUAUGACCCUAUCUGCUUAGUGAUUGAAAAUACAAAGAGUUUGGAGACUAUUGAAUUGCAGGAGGUCAUUGCAAUUUUGAAGAGCCAAGAGCAGCGUUUUGACAUGCAUAAUGUGGACACAGCUGAGAAGGCAUUUGGCUCUUUCUCAGUCAAUACACAAGGGCAGAACAAGAAUAGUACUCAAACUGGUUCUGCUAAGUCUCAGAAAAAUUGGAAGUCUAACAACAAACCAUGGGAGUCUAGACCUAAGCCACAACAAGCUGGUGCUGCACAGAACUCAAAUGGAUCACAAUAUGUGCAUCAAGAUGGAGUGAAGCCUCAAUGCAAAGUAUGCUCUAAAUUUCAUUUUGGAGAAUGUCGAUAUAAGGGUCAAUCUAAGUGCUAUAAGUGUGAUAGAUUUGGACAUUAGGCUAGGGACUGUACUGCAAACAAAGGAGUACAGAAAGCAAAUAAUGUAAGCCAAGUAGAAGUAAGGGGAAAUUUGUUUUAUGCAAACUGUGCAAUCUCAGAGAAGAGUGAAAAUGGAGAGUAGUAUAUAGACAGUGGUUGUAGUAACCAUAUGACUGGGAACAAGGAGCUGUUAAUUGACAUAAACACAAAUGUCACAGGCAAGGUGCAAAUGCCAACAGGGGAGCUUGUAGGUAUAACUGGUAUGGGCACUUUAGUACUUGACACAGGGUCUGGUACAAAGUAUAUCAAAGAAGUCAUGUAUUUGCCUGGUUUGAAAGAAAAUCUGUUGAGUGUAGGCCAAAUGGAUGAACAUGGUUAUCAUUUGGUGUUUGGAAGCAGCAUGUGCAAUAUUUUUGAUGAUUAUUCACUGGAGAAUCUUGUCAUGAAGGUGGCAAUGAGAAAGAACAUAUGCUAUCCAUUGUCACUAUCUUCAAAUGACUUUAUUGCACUAAGAGCUAGUGUGUCUCCAUCUACCUGGAUUUGGCACAAAAGAAUGGGGCAUUUACAUUUAAAAGGGCUAAACCAGCUCAAGGAAAAGGAGAUGGUGCAUGGUUUGCCGCAUUUGGAAGCUGCAAAUGGAGUCUGUGAAGGCUCAGUUUGGGAAACAACAUAGAGAAUGGUUUCUAAAGAACCAAGCAUGGAGGGCAAGUACUCCUUUUGAGUUAAUAUACAUGGACUUGUGUGGGCCUAUGCAAAAUGAGUCAGUUGCAGGUAACAAAUACUUCAUGCUUCUCAUAGAUGACUGCACAAGAAUGAUUUGGGUCUAUUUCCUUAGAUACAAGUCUGAUUCACUAAAUUGCUUUAGAAAGUUUAAGUCUAUGGUAGAGCUGCAGAGUGGUUUUAAAGUAAAAUGUGUAAGAAGUGAUAAAGGAGGAGAGUUUACAUCUAGUGAAUUCGAUAAGCUGUGUGAAGAGGCAGGAAUUCAAAGGCACUUUUCUAUGGCAUAUACUCCACAACAGAAUGGAGUGGUAGAAAGGAAGAAUAGGACGGUGGUAGAAAUGGCAAAGGCUAUGUUACAUGAGAAGGAGCUACCCUACUAUCUGUGGACAGAAGUUGUACACACUGCCGUGUACAUAUUGAAUAGAUGUCCUACCAAGGCACUCAGAAACAAAACUCCUUUUGAAGCUUAUAGUACAAGGAAACCAGGUGUUGCUCAUUUAAAAGUGUUUGGCAGCGUCUGCUUUGUACAUAAACCAGCUGAAGGGAGACAGAAAUUGGAUGCCAAGAGCACAAAGGGAGUGUUUGUUGGUUAUGCGACUUGUGAAAAGGGUUAUAGAGUUUUUGACCCUUUCACUAAGAAGCUCUUAUUGUCAAGAGAUGUUGUAUUUGAUGAAGGAGCAACCUGGAAUUGGAAGGAAGUGGCUGAGAAUCAAGUGCAAGUGAUGAACUAUGAAGAGCAGCCUAGGAAUUCUGAAGCAACACCAUUUGAAACAUCUGUAGGAAAUCAGAAUCAUGGUUUCAUGUCAGGAGAAAGUGUUUCACAAGGAUAAUCAAAUAAAAUAGGCAGCAGAGUAGAAGACACUCAAAGUUUUGAUCAUACUCCAUUGAAAUGGAGAAAGCUGGAUGAUAUUUUAGCACAAUGCAAUCUGUGCAUUAUGGAGCCUAAGAAAUUUGAUGAAGCUGUAAAGGAUGAGUCAUGGAUAAAGGCAAUGAAAGAUGAGUUGUCAAUGAUAGAGAAGAAUGCUACAUGGGAGCUUGUUGACAGACCUACGGAAAAACCAGUUAUUGGAGUUAAAUGGGUGUUUAAAACCAAGUUAAAUCUGGACGGUUCAGUGCAGAAAAAUAAGGCAAGGUUAGUGGCUAAAGGAUACUCUCAGAAACCAGGGGUAGACUACAAUGAAACAUUUGCACCUGUGGCUAGAUUAGACACAAUCCGAACUCUAAUUGCAUUAACAGCACAGAAGAGUUGGAAGCUGUACCAAUUAGAUGUUAAGUCAGCUUUUCUAAAUGGCAUCUUAGAAGAAGAAGUGUAUAUAGAUCAGCCGGAGGGAUUUGUGGUGAAGGGGAGUGAAAGCAAGGUUUACAAGCUGCACAAAGCUCUAUAUGGCUUGAAAUAGGCACCAAGAGCUUGGUAUAGUGAAAUUGAUGGUUAUUUUGCUGAGUGUGGUUUCACAAAGAGUCAAAGUGAGGCUACCCUUCAUGUCAAGACAAGAGGUGAAGCAAGCAUCCUGAUAGUGUCUAUCUAUGUAGAUGACAUAGUCUACACUGGAAAUAACCAAGCAAUGUUGGAAGAAUUCAAGCAAGAUAUGAUGGAGAAAUAUGAGAUGACAGAUUUGGGACUCUUGCACCAUUUUUUGGGGAUGGGAGUGACUGUAAACCUGUGGCUAUCCUUCUUGUUCCAACUGAAAAAUUAAGUAAGGAUGAUGGGAGUGGUUCCACAAAUGAGGAGCAAUAUAGAAAGAUCGUUGGAAGUCUGCUGUAUCUCACAGCUACAAGACCUGAUAUUAUGUUUGCAACUAGCUUGCUUGCAAGGUUUAUGCACUGCCCCACCACCAAACAUCUUGGAACAGCAAAACGGGUUCUUAGAUAUGUGAAAGGAACACUUGACUAUGGUCUGGAGUAUGUGAAGGGAAAAGAGGCAGUUCUAAUUAGCUAUUGUGACAGUGACUGGAAUGGCUCAGUGGAUGAUAGCAAGAGCACUUCUGGAUAUGCAUUUUCUUUUGGAAGUGGAGUGUUUGCUUGGGCUUCAGUCAAACAGAACUGCGUUGCACUCUCUACUGCAGAGGUAGAAUACAUUAGUGCCUCUGAAGCAACAACACAAGCUAUUUGGUUGAGAUAUGUUUUGGAAGAUUUCGGAGAAUUUCAAACAGAGGCCAUACCACUAGACUGUGAUAGCAUCUCAGCUAUUGCCAUUACAAAGAACCUUGUGUUCCACCAGAAAACCAAGCAUAUUGAUCGAAGGUACCAUUUUAUUAAAGAUGCUUUGCAAGAAGGAAUUGUGGAUUUGAUCUAUUGUCCUACGAAUGAGCAGCUAGCAGACAUUUUUACAAAGGCUCUAGCUAAAGAUCGUUUAUGCUAUCUUAGAGAGAAGCUCGGUGUGAAAUCAGCUCACAACUUAAAGGGGAGUGUUGAAAUAUAAGUAGUCAACUGAUAGAAAAUGUAACUAAACCUAUUUAGCUAAUGGUGUAUUCACUUAGUCACUAAAAUGACAGGUGUUAGGCUUGAGUAGUGAAAGGCUGUACAAGCCACGUGUAAUGUUUCUAGAAAGCAAUUUUAGAUGAAGGGCUGUGAUACAAAGCAUGUAAUUGUAUCCAGCUGGUCUUUCUAACUAAAAUAUAGCACACACAGAGUCUGCUCUUUUCGAUUAGAGUAUUAAAAUACAAAGCUUCUGUUCAAUCGAUUCUUCGUGUAUUCUCUUUGCUCUCUCCACUAUUCUUCACAAAAACACUGGGACACUUAGAUCACUGGGGCUUUUGUCUGUGUUUGAUUUGCAAGAUUCUUCAGCUGCAGCUCACUUCAUCCCAUCGAGAUCCAGGUAGCCUUAAUUGUAUUUCUAACUCAAGCAGUCUGAGACAUUUCUCAGAUGAGAGCAACAAUCAAAGUGGGACUGGAUGAGAUUUCUACACUAAAGAAAGCAGAUUUUCACAACCCCUCAGAUUGCUUGGUUGGUAACCUGAGCUCGAGCCAGGAUCUUCAGUCUCAGUGUACCUCUGCCAGCCUAGGCGACUCCCAGGCUUUCUCCAGGCAAUACCUGGCAGACAACUCAGGUUUGCAACUAGGAUGCAUUGUUGAGGUGUUUCUCGCUUGAUGGUGCCUGAUAUAUUGAUCUUAUUGUGCAUUCAGAAAACUCAAGCUAUCUUAGUUGAUCUUAUUGUACAACAUUUGUGUUUGAUGUACUUCCGGUCUCUGAAAGAGGUUAUAAAACUAAAUGGUUUAUUUAUCCAUACUUUUCCUGGCUUAAAAAGCCUGAGGCCACAGAAUUGAAAUUACCAGUACAAAGAUAUUUGAUAACUGAUUCUUCAACUUCUUGGAGGAAAACCCAGACCAUGCUAACAAGCUAGGAUCAGAGAAGGUCAUACAUAUUUGGAUGCUAAAAUACAUCAAAUAUUGAAUGCCUUAAUACAUUCAAGAAUACACUAUGAUUCUUUCAUUUCCUAACAAGUCAUUGUCCAGAGAACAGAACAGCUAAUAUCUCCUAAAAUAGAAAUCAAGAAAUAAAGUAGCUUUUAAAUUACAAAACAGAUUCUACCUCCAGCUUGCUUGCAGUCAGGAAAAUAAGCAAUUGAUGACGCCCUUAUUGCGACCUUGAAGGAAUUUCAUGAAGAUGUUAAAAAGUAAUUAAGCCACACAAAUUUUGUGCACUUAAUGUCAAAAAUUAGCUCAAGUAAUUACAAGAUAUUCACAUUGAAUCCAUACAGAAAAACCAAAAGCAGCAGAUGAUACACACAUCAAGCACGUCUCUUACGAAGAUGCCAAGAGUUAGGUUCAUGGUAUCUAUCAUAUAGCAGUUCAAUAUGUUCUUGAUGCUUGCGCUUGCUCAUCUUGGUGGGAUCUGCCACUUUGAAGAACCUGUGCCAGUUCCACGAGCCAUUGGGGUCGACGACCGUCACCUCGCGCAUGUACUCCUUUGUGGUCAUAACCAGCUCAUGGUAGAUCACCCAAGCUGGUUGUCUCUGGAAGACGGCGCUGCUUGGGUGUAUAUAAACAGGUUGGUUCUCCACUAGGGUUUUAUACACAAACUUAUGCUAGGUUUUUAUACACAAACUUAUCCUAGAGCUUACAUUGGCAUGUCAAUCAAUGAAAACUGUUAAAGGCGAUGGUAGGAUGUGUAAUAUGCCAUCUGAAUUUCCAUAUCAACUUUUAAAACAGUUUUGCCAAGAAAAACAAUUGCGGUAUCAAAAUGCCUAACAUGUCCGCACAAGAGAGCCCAUUUGAAGAGCAUAUACUGGCAAUUUAGCUAUACACAAAAGAGUAGCUAUAAUUUAUAAAGAUACUAUACUUAACCACUGAAAAAAUGGUGGAAAAAAGCACUUCUGCUAAUAAUGCUCUGAAAACAGUGUAUGUAGUAACAUCAACAUGACAACUCGUAAUGACCUAUUCGCUGCUCAGGUACCAUAUAUCUAGAUUUUAAAACCCAAACUAGGCCUGAACAACAUUUCAACAUUUCCAUCAAGUACAGACAGCAAAAGGCAUGCCUAAUCCACGACUACUGCAAAAAUACAAUGUACCAAACAUGAGCAAACCUAGAACAUUAAUCUACAUCUUUUAAAACCAUUCAUGCACAUGUGAAACCAGAAAAAAAGAUGCAUGCAACCAUGAAUAACAACGCUUUUUCCGGAAAAAUUCCCAUGACAAUAGGCUCUUUAUUUCAAAUGCAAACUUUGAAAUUAAGAAGUAACCAAUUUGUUGGAGAAUUGCCUUCAUCGUUGAAGAACUGCGCAAGUUUAGAAGUUAUUGAUCUGGGAUACAAUAAAUUAUCAGGACCAAUACCUACAUGGUUAGGCGUGAGCUUCAAGAAUUUGGUUGUCCUGAUGCUUUCCACCAAUCAAUUCAAUGGAAGCAUGCCCUCACAAUUAUGCCAUCUAACACACAUUCAAAUUAUGGAUUUCUCUAUGAACAACAUCUCUGGAAGCAUACCCAAAUGCCUCAACAAUUUGACUACUCUGGCUCAAAAAGGAAAUCCAAGUCUAUCCAGCACACAUUCUUAUAUCAGAGUUAUGGUAAUAACACAGCUGCUGGUGCUAAUUAUGAGGAUGAUGCAAGCUUCAUAUGGAAAGGAAGAAUGCAGACAUACAAAAGCACUUUGGGACUUGUGAAGAGAAUUGAUCUCUCAAGCAAUAGAUUAACAGGGGAGAUUCCAAGUGAAAUCACUCAUCUUGUUGAGUUGAUUUCUUUAAACCUUUCAAGAAACCGGUUAACAGGUCAAAUAACUCCAGAGAUUGGAAAUUUGCAGUCAUUGGAUUCUCUUGAUUUGUCAAGAAACCGGAUAGAUGGAAGAAUUCCGACAAGCCUUGCUCGGAUAGAUCGUCUUAGUUUCUUGGACUUGUCAUAUAACAACUUGUCUGGCAAAAUACCAACAGGCACUCAGCUCCAAAGCUUUGAUCCCCUUGAUUAUGCUGAAAAUCCUCUACUAUGUGGACCUCCACUUAAAAAGAUGUGUGCUGAUCAAAAUGAGCAAACUGGCUUGAGCAAUGAAGAGGAUAAGGAUGAGUUUAUAACAUUGGGAUUUUACAUCAGUAUGGGGAUUGGGUUUGCUGCUGGAUUUUGGGGAGUUUGCAGCACUUUGAUAUUCAACAGGCCAUGGAGAUAUACAUACUUCAAGUUCUUGAAUCAUUUAAAUAAUUGGCUUUAUGUGAAGAUAGCUUUGAUCAAGCGGCAACUAAAGCUAGCAUAUGCCUAAUAGAUAAGCUCGCAACGGUACUCUUUCUCUCUCAUCGUUAAUUUGGUUUUAUAAUUAUUUUCUUAUUGCAUUUUUUCUUUUCUCCAAAUUGACGGGUAUUAAUUUGUUUACUUUGAUAUUUAGCUGCAGCAUCUAAAUUAGGAGAAAAGUAGCUGUAGCUGAAUGCCUCCUUUCAGUUCAAGUGUUGAAGAUUGCCAGUACGCGCACGCAUAGGUAUCUGGAGAAGAGUUUAUGAGUUAAUUUGGAGUGCUCAGUAGGAAUAAAUAUGAGUUAUAUUAGUGUUAAUUACUUGUCAAAAUAAUUAAUUCAGAGUUCUCCGAUUAUUAUUAUUAUUAUUUUUUGUUUGUUGAGAGAAAUAAACAUAUCGAUUUUAAUCCAAUCUCACUCCGAUUAAUGUAUUAAUUCCAGCUAUAGUGUUAUUUUAAUUAACUAAACCAAAGCCAAAGCAGACUUGAUUUCAAAUUACAAUGUGUGGCUCUGUUUUGGUCAUCUAUUUGCAACGUACAGCUUCUCCUUGUAAAUUGGGGGUCAGCUUCUCCUUGUAAAUGUGUGGCUCUGUUUUGGUCAUUCUUUCCUUUCAUAAUUCAAUAUCUUGUUUUGGGCACAUGGUAGAAGAUGCAUUUUUGUAAACAGACUUUUUGUAUUUGGUCAGGCUUGCAGUGCUCUAUUUUGUGGAUUUUAAGAUUGUAGUAGGCUUACUUGUGAGCUGCAAAAUGCCUUGUACCAAAGUUUAUGUAUAAAAUGUGUGCUAAAUCUUGUGUGUGGAGUACAAGAAUGAAGGUCUUCCUGGAAAAGCAAUCACAAGCAUUUUCUCUCUUUUCAAUUUGUAGAAAUGUUCAAGUUCUUGCCCAUUACUUGCAGUUGCAGAUAUAUAGUGUUGUGUAGCAUAAAGGCUCCAACAUAUGCAAUUCCAUCAAGGCUUGCAGGCCAAUCACUGCUGUCUCUUGGAUAUUACAAACAUUUGUAGAGCCAUAAUGAAAACUUGAUAGGCUAGCAAGGGGCUUGUGGCUCAAGCGGUUAAGAGCAUCUAUCCCUGCACUCGAGGUCUUAGAUGUGAUUCCCUCCUCCCAAUGUCGCUUGUAACAAAAAACAAAUAAAAAACUUGAUAGGCCCACUACUAGCAACACUGAUAUUGUCCCCAACUUAACCACCUAUAAAGCCCAGUUGGUGUGGGGUUUUAUCACCAAAGGCCUAGGUGAUAUUAGUAGUAGAACCAUUCAUUAUAUAUUGUAUUUUAUUUAAUCAAGUUUCCGAUGUUUGACUCAUUCUUCAACACGCCCCUUCACGUAGGACCACCACAUAGCAGGCCACACCUGGAGCCAAGUCCACAUUAGAGUCAAACAUUCACGCCCAACACGUGAGCACCACGUAUUGGGUAAAGGGUAAGGGUAAACAUUCAAGCCGAACAUGUGAACACCACAUAUUGGGUAAGGAUAGAGACCCAAUUCAGGCUCAGUCAAUCAAACCUGCUCUGAUACCAUGUUAAAUUCAGAGAGACGGGCUAUCUGCCCACUACUAGAAACACUGAUAUUGCCCCCAAUUACAAAGCCCAGUUGGUGUGAGGUUUUAUCACAAAAGGCAUUGGUGAUAUCAGUAGUAGAACCAUUCAUUAUAUAUUUUAUUUUAUUUAAUCAAGUUUCCGAUGUGGGACUCAUUCUUCAACAAUGUCCACCAAUUUUAGCAGAUACCCUUUUGGACAAUGUUGAAUAGAGCACUUAACUUGAUUGUUAAUGACUAGGGCCCCUAAUAACACAGAGAGAGAGAGAGAGAGAGAGAGAGAGAGAAAAGAGAGUUGAAGAAGAAAGACAGAGUAUUUUUAGAGAGAUUUGUAUAUUGAUCUUUUCAUCAUGACUGAUUACAAUAAUGACUCUGUUAUAUACAGAGUUAAUCCUGGAUUCUGUUAUAUACAGAGUUGAAGAAGUAACAUUCGGAUGAUCACCAUUCAAUACAUGGCCUUCCUCCUAAAUGUCAACGUGCAAUAUUGAACUUUGGGUUAAAGUAGCUUGAAUUCCCCCAACAUCAUGACAUUGUAUGACCUUUGUACUGAUGGAGCCUCGAAGCAAAUGAUCGACAAACGUCUAGAUCCAAGAACAAUCAAAUGAGAAUGACAAACAUCUAAAUCCAACUUCCAAGAACAAGCAAAUGAUCAACAAACAUCUAGAUCUAUUUAAUAAUGCAGUCCCCCUCACCUAAGGUCCUAAAAAUGAGGUCAUGUGAGGUCCUCUUUAAAAACGGCCCUUAGAUUAAUCUAACGGCACAUAUCAUAAAUAAUAUUAACCCACACUCAUACUCCUUGUUUUAUUCAAACGCACGUUCAAACGCUUGUCUUCAGCUUCUCGCGAUCUUUUGGCAGCAUCGCCUGCAACUUCUCUAACCUCUUUCUGAAUCUCUUUCUCAAUCUUGUCAAGCGUUUGAACGUAAUGGCCAAAUUUCAUUGUAAAUCAAUUACAUGCCACAGCAUGCCAUGAUAAAAUAAACAGCAGUGAUUGGUGUAGUAAACCCUUUUAAUGGUUCCAAAUAUCUGUCUGGUCUUUCGUAAUCUUUUCUAUGAUGAUAGAAUGCAGCAGGUUUCAAUAUUUUCUGCAUGAUACUUAACAUCUUCAUUAUCAAUGUGAUAAUGUUAUGUUCAUUGCUUUAAAGUGUGGCCAGAGGUUAACAUUUUUGCAUGUUCUCUGCAGGUAUAUGGGUACAAUAGUCGGUAUUAGUGGAGGAAUCUUUAAGCUACUCUGAGCUUUUACUAAGUGAUCUUCAUUAUAAUGAAGGUUCUUUCUGUUUGCUUUAAAUGUUCAACAGUUGAUUCUUCUACAUUCACUUCAUUAACAGGUAGAGUGGGAUGAGCCAGGGUGUUGUGAUAAACAGAACAGGGUUAGCUCAUGGGAAAUUGAGACUCCUGAAAAUCUUUUCAUAUUUCCUUCUCUGACUUCGAGUCUUAAACGACCAUUACACUCUGGAUUCUUGGGAAGUCUGUUAGAUGUUUUUUGGGGUCCUGCAAGGUCGGUCCUCUUUUCCCAAAAUGGCUUCAAACUCAAAAUGAUUCUUCCCAGCUUGAUAUUUCGAAUGUUGGAAUUUCUGAUAUCUUUCCAAAUUGGUUUUGGAGUCAUUUUCGUAACGCAUACCUUAUUAAUCUCUUACAGAACCUAAUCAGAGGAAUAUUUACAAAUUUGACAGUGGAGUUUGCACAUUACCCAGAACUACAUUUGACUUCGAACCAAAUAGAAGGUCCAAUUCCCUCAACUCUAUCACAAGCCUCAUAUCUGGAUAUCUCUAAUAAUAACAUUUCAGGGUCGCUUUCUUUCCUAUGUGCAAGUGCAGAUAUGAGUUUAACAUAUCUUAAUCUUUCAAGCAACAGUUUUUUUGGAGAACUUCCUGUUAUAAAAAAUAAUAGUUUUCCUCUUUCCGUAAAGCCAAAUACAAAACAUUUAUGUUAUAAAUAACAUAUAAACAAAUUGGAAAGCUUUGAAGGUAUAAUGAAAUUGAAGAAAACAAAAUAAUAGGUAAGUAAAAGGAAAAUUAAUAAUAAGUAAGAAGGUGAGUUUGGUACGGUGAAGCACGUCAAAGACGCUGUCCUAAAGCCUUUGUAGCCUCCCUACGUGCAGGUACUGACGGUCUACAAGACUCCAAGAUACGACCCCUUGUACACAAACUCAAGAUUCGCUAUGAGCACGUUCACAGACAGAUAUAGGUAUCCAAGUCACAUAACCAUUGCCCAAAAUAAUAAUAAUAAUAGUAGAGAAUAUAUGUAAAAGUAGAAAAGGAGAGAAUUAGAAUGUGUAUGUGAUAUUCUGAUAAUGUAUUGUGUGUUAUUGUGUAUAAUUGUGUGUAUUCAAAUGUGAAGGAGGAGUGGCCUUUUAUAGGCAUCCAAAAACAUGUAACCUUCACCAACCAUCAAAGUUCACCAACCAAAAAAUUAAGGCUUUCACCAACCAGAAAUAAAACUUGAAUAUUAAAUAUUUAUAACCCCCACAAUAAAUAAAAUAAAACAAGCAAAAUAAUUAAAUAAAUAAAACGGUUAAAUUUUAAAACCUUUUAAAAUUCCAACACUUCCAAAUUGUUGGAGCCAUUUGGAGACUCUAGUCAUGCUUGAUUUGAGUAACAACGCUUUUUCCGGAAAAAUUCCCAUGACAAUAGGCUCUUUAUUUCAAAUGCAAACUUUGAAAUUAAGAAGCAACCAAUUUGUUGGAGAAUUGCCUUCAUCGUUGAAGAACUGCGCAAGUUUAGAAGUUAUUGAUCUGGGAUACAAUAAAUUAUCAGGACCAAUACCUACAUGGUUAGGUGUGAGCUUCAAGAAUUUGGUUAUCCUGAUGCUUUCCACCAAUCAUUUCAAUGGAAGCAUGCCCUCACAAUUAUGCCUAUAAAGUUUAGAUUUCCUCAUGCCAAAUAGUGUUGAGAUUUUCUAUAUUUAUACACAGUAUGAAUCAGUUACAGAAAUUCAAAAGAGCUGAUAUCAAGGAGGCGUUACACUUGCUAUGAUCAAGGAAAGAUUACAAAAUAAUUACAAGAUUCUUAGGAAGGAGAGACUACAGCUGGUGCUAAUAUCAUGGGUGAUCUGCAGCUGUUACAGCUGCAUUUGUAACAGUUGAAGGUGCAACUAAUACGCCCCCUCAAGUUGAGCGUUCUUGAACUCGCAACUUGUCUCGGAUGAAGGUGAAGCGAGGGGAACUCAAUGGUUUGGUCAUGAUAUCAGCAAGUUGAUCCUUGGUGGAGAUAAAUUUAACACUAAGCUUUCCUGCAGAAACUUGAUCGCGAACAAAAUGAUAAUCGAUCUCUACAUGCUUUGUACGAGCAUGAAAAAUUGGAUUAGCAGAAAGGUAGGUAGCUCCUAAGUUGUCACACCAUAAAACAGGUGAAGUAGAUGUGGAAAAUCCAAGUUCCUGGAGUAAGGAGCGAAGCCAAGUAAUUUCAGUGGAAGUAUUGGCAAUGGCACGAUAUUCCGCCUCAGUGGAGGACCGAGCAACAGUAUUUGCUUUUUGGCUGACCACGAGACCAAGUUACAGCCAAGAUAAAUAGCAAACCCACCAGUUGAGCGGCGAUCAUCUGGACAUCCAGCCCAAUCCGCAUCACAAAAAGCUUGAAUGGCAUGAGAAGAAGAUUUGCUGAGGAAAAGUCCAUGAGAGAUAGUUUUCUUGAGAUACCGAAGAAUUCUCUUGACACUAGCCCAAUGUUCACUGGUGGGAUUGUGCAUAAAUUGACAAACUUUGUUAACAGAGAAGGACAGUUCCGGGCGAGUUAAGGUGACAUAUUGAAGAGCACCAACGAUGCUUCUGUAUUGUUGUGGAUUAGAUAAUGGGUCACCAUCAGAUUUGCUAAGCUUGCUAGAAGAGGCCAUUGGUGUAUCAAUAGGCUUGAUGUCGGCCAAAUGGGAUCGCUUUAGGAGAUCAAUGAUGUAUUUGUGCUGAGAAAGGAUUAAUCCACCAGAAUGUGGUACCACCUCAAUGCCCAAAAAAUAAUGAAGUAGACCAAGAUCUUUCAAAGCAAAUAUGGAGCUAAGAGCAGAGAUGACUUUUCCAAUGGCAGCACUAUUAUUUCCUGUGAUGAUUAUGUCAUCAACAUACACAAGAACAUAAAUAAUCGUAGUUCGAUCAUUAAAAACAAACAAUGAACUAUCCAUCUUAGAGCCAACAAAUUGAAGUUGUAAAAGGGAAGAACUCAAACACUGAAACCAUGCCCGUGGUGCUUGUUUUAAGCCAUAGAGGGACCGAUGAAGUCUACAAACAUGAUGCGGUUGAGAGGAAUCAAGAAAACCCGGUGGUUGAGUCAUGUAAACCUCUUCUUUAAGAUGACCAUGGAGAAAAGCAUUACUUACGUCCAACUGACGAGCUUCCCAACCAUUGCUGACAGCAAGUGACAAAACUGUGCGAAUAGUGGUGGCUUUGACAACGGGACUAAACGUCUCAGUGUAAUCAACUCCCUCCUGUUGAUGAAAUCCCUUUGCAACUAAACGUGCUUUGUACCUAUCAAGUGUACCAUCAGCCUUGCGCUUGACACGAAACACCCACUUACACCCAACAACAUUCAUGGAAGGAUCAUAGGGAACAAGUGACCAGGUGCCAUUCUUUAUGAGGGCAUUCAAUUCUUCAGUCAUUGCAACACGCCAGUGGUGUUGUUUGUUAGCAUCAGAGAAACAAGUUGGCUCAUGUUGGGUGGCAGCUUCAGUCAAAAGUGCAUGAGGAAGAGUGUAUUUGGGAUUGGGGGUUGGUCUCGGGCGAAGAGAGUAUCUAGCAUUUUGACGCCCCUGACUUGGGUUUUCUCCUUGAGUGCCUGCCAAAACUAUAGCUAAUUCCUGACCAUUGGAGUUAGUAACAGUAGGAUCAAUAUUUUCAUGUUGGGAAAGAAUCAUAGAUGAAUUAUCAUUAUGAGAGAUGUUGUGAGGAGAUAAUGCAAGACUUGAAGCUGUAGUGGAAUUUGAAUUUAAAUGCACAUUUGGUGAGCUAGGAGAAGCAUUAGAAUUUAAUGGAGAGGAAAGAGGAGAGGAGGAAUUACCAAAUAAGGACACCCUUGCUGCACGUGCUGAACUUGGGAACUCUAUAGGCAACAAAAAAGGAUCAGAUGAUGGGUCAUUUGGAGCCUGUAAUACAGAAGUUGGAGAAAUAGAAAAUGGAAAGGUGUGUUCAUGAAAACGUGCAUGUCUAGAAAUAUAUAUCCUGCCUGUUUGGGGAUUUAAGCAUCGGUAACCAUGGUGAUUUGGAAUAUAUCCCAAGAAAAUACACGGAAGAGAAUGAAAAUCAAAUUUAUUUUUAUUAUAAGGAAGAAGAUAUGGGAAAACUAAGCAGCCAAAAACUUUGAGAAAACAAUAAUCAGGAGAUUGAUUAAAGAGAACUUGGAAAGGAGAUUGAUCAUGAAGGACUGAAGUAGGCAUUCUAUUUAUCAAAUAAACAGAAGUGUCAAAUGCAAAAUGCCAAUAUUUUUUUGGUACAGAUCCAUGGGCAAGGAGAGUGAGACCUGUCUCUGUAAUAUGACAUAUUUUUCUUUCAGCAUAUCCAUUUUGCUCAUGAGUGUGUGGACAAGCAAUUCGAUGAGUGAUCCCACAUUUUUCAAAGUGAGAAGAGAGCUUACGAUACUCUCCCCCCCAAUCUGAUUGGAAAUUGCGGAUCUUGGUAUUAAACAAGCGUUCUGCUUUGACUUGAAAUUUAAGAAAUAUGUCACACACAUCAGAUUUACGGACUAAAGGGAAAAACCAUACAUAUUUGGAAAAAUCAUCAACAAACAAAACGAAGUAACGAUGUCCUUCAAUGGAUGGAAUUGGGGAAGGCCCCCAUACAUCACUGAAAAUAAGUUCUAAUGGAUGAGAGCUAACAGAAGGAGUGGGAGGUAAAGAAAAUUUAGACAUCUUUCCCAAACAACAAGCAGUACAAGGAGGUAAGUCCUUUGAAAGAGAAGGAAGAUUAUUGCCAUUUAUUACUUGACGAAGAACACGUGGAUGUGGAUGACCCAAGCGUGCAUGCCAACAAGAGAAAUUGGCACGUUCGCUUAAGAAAGCCAUGGGACCGUCAUUUUUAUUGGAGAUGGCAAUGUUACUAAGCUUAUAGAGGCCACCUUCAUUCAGCCCGUGAAGUAGAGGUUUCCCCGUGUGCUGGUCCUUCACAACAAAGAAAGUGGGGUGAAACUCAAAAUAACAAUUAUUAUCUUUGGAGAAUUGAUGAACAGAAAGAAGUUUCUUUGUGAUAUCAGGAACAUGUAAGAUAUGAGAUAGAUUAAAGAACGAGUGGCAUUAGAAAAGGUAGAUGUCCCAACAUGAGAAAUAUUUAGCCCGUUACCAUUACCAACUUUCAAUUGAUCAGGACCAUUGUAGUUAUUAGCGAUGGAGAGAUUGGCAAGAUCCGGAGUGACGUGAUGAGUUGUGCCAGUGUCAGGAAACCAUGCGUUAAAAUCACUAUUUGAAUAUGCUGGAAAGGAUGCAAUGUGAGCAGAAGCAUCAUUAGGCCUAUCAUAGCGAUAUCGACAUGUAGCAGCCAAAUGAUUUGUUCGAUUACAAAUCUGACAUCUUGCUGUAUUUGAAGGAUUUGGUGGGGUUGGGAGUAAUCCACGGUGCUGAGAAUUGGAUCUGGUAUGAAAAGACCUGUGGUUGUUUUGAUGUGAUCUGUUGUUGAAAUUUGAUUGACUUCGAUGAUUGUGGAAAUUUGGAGAUGCUGGAGCCCGAGUGUUAUUGGAAUUUUGGCCUUUGUACACCAUAUUAGCAGAAGGAAGAAUGGUGGAGUAAGUUGCCUGCUCUUGAAGACGAAUUUCAUGACUCACAAGUAGGCUAUGGAGUUCUGAAUAAGAGAUGGGACUGAGUCUGGUAGACAAGGCAGUGACCAUAUCACUGUAAUCGCUGCCUAGAUUGCGGAAGAUAAUAGCAUUGAACUCAUUGGUAUCAAGGGGUUUUCCUGCGGCUGCAAGUUGAUCGGCUAUGAGUUUGGCCUUUUGAAGAUAAGUCGCUACCGGUAGAUCGCCUUUUGAGAAAUUUUGAAGUUGAGUAUGUAACUGAAGGAGUCGGGUAUUCGUAGGAGAUCCAAAAGCUUGUGUGAGAGCUUGCCAGGCUUGAAAGGAGGUGGAGGUGCCUACUAUGUGAGGCAUAACAUCUUCAGUUAAGGAUGCAAUAAUCCAACUACAAAGCAUUUGGUCACGUUUGCGCCAAGAAAUAAACUCUAGGUUGGACUGAGAGGUAUUGCCCGCACCUACUGUAGAUGAUGGUGCAGUGUCAGUUCCAUCAAUGAGACCUUCAAGGUCAUGAGAAAUUAGAAUUGGCUCAAAUUGUGUCUUCCACAAAAGAAAAUUGGUGGGGGUGAGCUUAAGGGAAAGAAAGUGUGAAGGAUUAGGCAUUGGCAUUGUUUGAUUGAGAGUGAGUGUGGAAGUGGGAUUGAUGGUUGUAUCUUGAUUAGGUUGAGAUGCAGCAUCUGAUGUAGCCAUAGGAAUAGAAAAGAAAAGAAAAUAAUAACGAUAGAGAUCAGAAGAUAAGAAAAGGAAUAGGAUCAGUAAAGCUCUGAUACCAUAUAAAGUUUAGAUUUCCUCACACCAAAUAGUGUUGAGAUUUUCUAUAUUUAUACACAGUAUGAAUCAGUUACAGAAAUUCAAAAGAGCUGAUAUCAAGGAGGCGUUACACUUGCUAUGAUCAAGGAAAGAUUACAAAAUAAUUACAAGAUUCUUAGGAAGGAGAGACUACAGCUGGUGCUAAUAUCAUGGGUGAUCUGCAGCUGUUACAGCUGCAUUUGUAACGGUUGAAGGUGCAACUAAUAAUGCCAUCUAACACACAUUCAAAUUAUGAAUUUCUCUAUGAACAUCUCUGGAAGAAUACCCAAAUGCCUCAACAAUUUGACUACUCUGGCUCAAAAAGGAAAUCCAAGUCUAUUCAGCACACAUACUUUUUUUAGAAAUGUGGAUCAUAACUCAAUUGUUAGUACUAAUUACGAGGAUGAUGCAAGCUUCAUAUGGAAAGGAAGAAUGCAGACAUACAAAAGCACUUUGGGCCUUGUGAAGAGAAUUGAUCUCUCAAGCAAUAGAUUAACAGGGAGAUUCCAAGUGAAAUCACUUAUCUUGUUGAGUUGGUUUCUUUAAACCUUUCAAGAAACCGGGAACACAUCUCAUGCAAUUCUACCAGGAAAGUUGAACAACCUAACAAAGUACUUACAAGACAAAAUUAGAUACUGAUUUUUCCGCGGAUCAAUUAAGCCAGUUGAAUUCUACAGGACAGGGAAUCGAAGAUAAAUUAGCUGCAGGGUUUGUUAGUCCCUAUAACCUUGUGAACCAGCUGACAUUUACCAACCAAAACCAAAGUGCAGCGCGACUACAACAAACUAGCCCACGGCCUAUGCAGCCGCCUUUGGAAUCAUUACCACUCCCAACAAACUGAUAUGCCUCAUUCAGAUUUCAAUAGCACAAAUGGUUCGCUUCCAUUCCUAGAUAAUGAUGAAUGCAUAUUUUAUCAGUCUUGUCAACCCUUUGCUGGGACACUAAGGCCUUGUUUGGUAGGCUGGACUAGACUGGUUAGGAUUGGGCUUGGAGUGUUGGACUAGUUCGGCUUGGAUUGGAAUAGACUUUAAUAAGUUGUUUGGUACAUUAAGUUGGGCUUGACUGCACUGGACUAAAGCUCAGUCCGUUGUUUGGUACAAGUAUGGGCUGGACUGCAUUGGACUUCAAACAAAAUUUAUUUUUAAAAUUUAUUAAAAUUAUUUAAUAUCAGAAAUAAUUAUAUUUAAAAUAAAAAAACAUGCAAGCAAAAUUAAAAAUAAGAAAUCACACGAAGAUACCAUAAAAAUAGUCCAAAAAUUCACAAAAUUAGUAAUAACACGAAAAUUCUUUUAAGUACAUUCAAAUGAUCAACAAAUACUUAUGUUAUGUUGCUCUAUUUGCCAUCCACUCAUUACACAUCUCAGUAGCCAAAUUACCCCUUCAUACAGACCAUUGGUCGGAUGCUGCAAUGGUAUCAAUAGUGCCAUGAUCUACAUUAUUCUCAAUGGGGGGAUCAUAAUAAAAUUCUUGCUCCAUUGGAUCUAUAUGACAGUUACUAACAUCAUGGAUGCACACAAACGUUGUUUUUCUGACUCUACUGCAACUAGAGUUGUCACAAUCUUCCUCUUUCUCAUUCGAUACAUGUCUACCCUGCCAUUAACAAUAUUGGCAAGAACAAAAUCAUAAUCUGUGAUGUAAUAAUUCUUGAAACUCAUAAAUCCAAAGCUGAGCAGAAUGCCAAAAUAUAUGAGAUAAUAAACAAAUAUAUUUAUAUGUGUAUGUAUGUCAUCGGAGACCAAUAAUAUUAUUGCGGAGGAUGAUGAACAUAGUUUUAUAUAUUUUAAGUAAAAUCAAAGGAGAAAUUACAUGAUGACGUACCAAUUUCAGAUCCAGCUGCCAACCAAACCAACAUAGAAACGUAUAAAAGUGAUAGAGAGGUCUUAUUAUUUUUGGAAAAUUUUACAAUGUUCCCACAUCUCCGUAAUCUGUAUUUGACAUUGUACAUAGAUAAUAAAAUGAACGACUCAAAUACUUCAUGUGACAAUGAGGUAUGAACUUCAUCACACUUUAUCUCUUUCUGGUUGUAAUAGUCACGAUGCAUUGCACUCCUUGGCUGGUUUAGUCAAUGCUGUUAUACUUCAGAAUUCAGACAGAUUAGAAUCAGAUGUUUGCUUUCUCUCUGCUUGUUAUCAAAUACUUUGUGUGUCUAGUUAUCGUGGUUCUAUGAAAAAACAAUAUAAGAAAAAUGAAUCUUUUCUCUUGUGCUGUUUUUGCUCUCUUCGAUGUUUACUUUCUCUUUGUGCUUGUGCUGAAGAAAUAUGGAGGCUGAAGACGAAAAUAACAGCAAUUUGAUUCCUAACUUGCAUGCUUGUAUAAACCGUUAACUUCAACUUCUGACUCGCAUCCAAAUAAGAAAGCGAAAAUAGAUCCAUUGGAACAUGCAGCUGGUGAGGUGUCAAAGUUACUGCAGAAGUUUUUGGCAAGUCAAAUGCAACUGCAACUGAAAGGAGAGGAGGUCCUUGGAGUGGUUUCAAAGAUACCCAACCUCAGUAGGUUGCAAAUUUUUAAGGUUGGGCGCAUAAUAUUGAGUGGUAACCCAGAAGAAUUCUCUCUACUGAAAUCUCUUCCUGAUGUUGAGAAGAAAUAGUGGAUACUCUUACUUAUUAGUCAAUCUGAAGGUAACUUUCUUGAUAAAAAUUGAGCCAAUAGCUCGGGGGAUAUAAAAUAGGUCUUUGACAUAAAGCCACUUAUCAACAUUUACUUUCUCGCCAUGGUAUCUCUCUCUCUCUCUCUCUCUCUCUCUCUCUCUCUCUCUCUCUCUAACUUAAUUUCUAGUUCUGCAUUUGUCGUUGUUUUAAUUUUAUGCUUUUAACAUGUCAAACCAAUACUUCACUCUGUAUGAUUCCUACUUAAUAUCUAGAUAGAAAAGAGUAUAUAUAUUAUUGCUUUAUCAAUCAUUGAUAUAUAGAGUAGUAUGACUAACAUAUCUUUUUAUUCCUUUUCAUGUAUCAUUCUCUUUAUAUACUUGUUCUUGUCCUUGUUCUUAUUCACACUCACACUUCCAAGCACUACUGCAUAACGUCUUAUGUCGAUUACAAUUAGCUUCAAGAACAUAACUUAUAAUCCAUUCAAGUUUUCUUGUUUUAUGUUUUGAAAGGAGGUUUUAGGUUCAUCUAUGUGGUUAAACUGAGAGGUUUGAACUGAAAUAUCUGAAUUUUAAAUCCUUCUACUCCCAACAUAUUAAAGAGAAAAAAGUACGAACCAGUGAAGAAAGCAAUGAUUGACCUGCAGGCCUUCAUGGAAUUGCAUAUGUUGAAGCCUUUAUAGCCUCCUUAUGGAGAGAAUCUUACUUACAACCAGAGAUAAAAUCCCUUGCGUCUACAACACUAAUCACGUGGAGAUAAAAUCCAUUGUGUCUACAACACUAAUCACGUAAGCAGGUAAACCAAUAUUGUAUUAGCACUCUGAAAUAGUCACCAUUAUCUCAUCUCUCCUUUACACAUACGCAUUCAUUACAUAUUAAACAAUAGAGAAGUGCUAAUACUACUCCUUAAGCUCUUCCAUUUAAGGGAACUUUACCUUUUGAGUCAAAAGACAUUCAUAAGAUUGGAACUAUAAUUUUACAUUUGUUAUGCAAGACCAUGGCUCCUUAUCUUUCCUUGAAAUGUUGGAAAUAGAAAAGUUAAGAGUAGCAAAAACCAGAGCUGAUAUUGGAUUUGAUAUAAGACGGCGAGAUAGCAGUCAAUGAGAAAAAUAAAUUGAAGGAGAACCAAAGAGUGAGGAAAUUGAAGAACUGAAAACAUUUAGACUUUCAGAUCCAAAAGAUUUUGGAAUUUCAUUAUUUUCGUUUUUUUAUAUAAUUAUUUUCUAGUUUACAUUGUUGAAUAUAUAUAAAAAUCGGUUAAAAAUAAGAAGAAUGCUAGCUAUCUUCCCAUGUGUACCUUAUUUUUCUACUUUCUUCAUUCUCAUCUUACUAUAUGGUUUAAUGAACAAAAUUUUGUAAGUUCUUGGUCACCCUUUAAAGAUCAUCACAACAAAAGAGUUAUUGUAGGCCUAAGGUAACAUACCUAGAAUAUACCCUUGGGCCCUAGUCAUUAACAAUCAAGUUAAGUGCUCUGUUCAACAAUGACCAAAAGAGUAUCUGCUAAAAUUGGCGGACAUUUCUUUCCCAACCAAUUGGGACACUAAUAAGCCACUAUCAAGCUGACCAACAAGUUUAAAACCAGGUCCAUCUGGGUUUGGCCUAUCAAGAUUUUUUGUUUGUUUUUGGUUAUUGGGAGGAGGGAAUCACACUUAAGACCUUAAGUGCAGGGAUAUAUGCUCUUAAAAUAGUCAUCAUUCUCUCAUCCUCCUUCACACGUAUGCAAUCAUUGCAUAUUAAAUGGGGUGAAGUGAGGGUGAUGAGUAGAGCUGGGUUUAGGGUUGGUGACAAACAAAAUGAAAUCAGUCAAUGAUGGAGAUAGGUGUCCACAUAAAAAUAUUUUGAUGAACUAGAGAAAUGGCAUUUUUGGGAAGAGUUGGGUGUCCAGAGAAGAGAAUGUUUAGAAUAAAAAUAGAAACCCAUUGAAACACGAGUGUAAACAGAAUUCUUGGUAAUAUGAAAUUUCUCUUUCAUAUUUAAGCAGUUACAUCACAUGAAAAGUUUAAACAUAAAUGAUAUUGUAAGUGCUCUUAAUCACUUGAACCAUGUCCCUCGUCACGAGAAGAGUGUUUAUACAACAAUUGUAUGUAAAAUUUAGGGUAAAUUACUCAAAUAGUUUUCAAACUUAUACCCGAUUUACAUUUUGAUCCCUCAAUUAAAUUAUUUGUUCAAAUGGUCCUUCAACUUUAUAUUAUUUGCUCCAUUGGUCAUACUGUUACAUUCUGUCAAUAUUUCCAUUAAAUAUGAUAACAAAUUGGUUAUUUCGUCCGUCAACUCUCUCUCUCUUCUUCCUCUUCUUCUUCUUCUUCCUCACGGCCUGGUGGUCGGCGUUUCCUUUGCUUGAAUGCCUUGUUCUGUGCUAUAGCACAAGAAUAAGCUGCUCCCGAAGAAGCUGUGGGAAUAAGCGCUCCUUAAAUAGGGAGGAAGCAGACUAACUAAACCCAACGCAACCCAUUCAAAAAAGACUUUCAGCCCUUGGCACAGAAGCUGUGAGAUGCAGAAUAGGAAUCUCUUCUUCUUCUUCCUCCUCCUCCUCCCAAUCUUCCUUCUUUUUUUUUUCUUCUCAUUUUCUUUAAUUUUUUUUUCUAAUUUUCUAUUUAUUUUAACCCAAUUUUUAUUUGUUAAUUAUGAAAAGUCAUAUUUACCUCCAAAUUUGGUUAAAUCUAACAGAGAAUUAGACCGUAGGAUCAAUAGAGCGAAUAAUAUAGAGUUAAUGAACCAUUUCAAUGAAUAAUUUAAUUGAGAGACCAAAAUAUAAAUCGGGUAUAAGUUUAAGUACCAUUUGAGUAAUUUACAGAAAAAUUUAACUUUUUGUUGGACCUAAAUAUUGAAACCCCACAAACUGAAACCACCAAAUAAAGAAUGCCCAAUUGAUACUCCAAUUUUCAUUCAAGUCAACCUUUUUCAGUAACGAAGUUAGUUAGCUUCGCUGGGGCGCCGUUCAAGUUUGAAUGUGCGAACUCAAAGCACCAGCAAGCUUCAGAAUAUAUUAUAACAUAUACAAGCAUUUUAUUCAAUCUAUUAAAAAUAAUAAAAAUCACUUAAUCACUCUCUCCAUGUACUUGAUCACCACUUAGAAUAAGGAUUUGAGCUAAAUCCAUUUUUUUUUUUUUGGCUUCGGUAACGACGAAAAGCUCUACAAACUAUAACCUACUUGUUGUGUAUGCAAAUUUCAGAUAAAUUUAAAAUACGUGCAAUCAGGAGUAGAGUCGAAAUCAAGUCCGAAGAGGCCUUGGCCUCCCACUCCUUUUAUAACUCUUUUUAACAUUUGAAACAAAGUAUAAUAUUAAAUAAAAAAAAUUCACAACUAAGCUAGUGUUGCCCCCCUCUGCAUUAAGUUUUAAGUUGUUACAUAAGGCGGCAUAAAUACAUAAAUCAAGACAUUAAAUUAUAGGUAAAUUAUAGGUAAGAUGGAAAAUAAAUAAAAGUAGGUGAGAGGGCCGUCCUAAUAUAUAUUAUUAGCUAAGAAAAUUGAAUAAACGGGACAGUCCAGGUCAUUGUCAAUAUAAAACAAACAAAGCCAAGCCAACAAUGGAGGGCUGGGCUGUCAUAUUUUGACUGAGAAAACUCUAUACGCAUAUAGAUAUAUGGUUGCCUUUUCAUUAUCAUUAUAUUUGACUGCUCGUGCAGAUUUGGGGAGAGGACUUGCUGAGUGAGACACACAUGCUGUAUUAAAUGAAGCCAAGUUUGUUUGGCUACGGCCCUCUCAAAUAUUGUUUGGCUCCCACCAACUUCCCUACGUUUUUUCUUUUAUAUGCGAUAUUUUAAAUUACUCUUAAGUUAUAUGGAGAAAAAUUCAAAUUCGGAUACUGAAGGAUAGACAUACUACUGGAGUCAACUUGACUAACCUACAUACAUUAUCUACGUAUUUUUCACAUUGACAAUUAUGAAAUAUACAAUAUUUCAUAUUAUUAAUGUAACAGGAAAUACAUAUUCAAAUAAAAAUAUACUCAAUGUAAUAUAAACUGUAUCUCCUUGAACAGGAAAUUAUACAUUAAUUAAUCUGUUAGCCUCGUCAUAUAAAGUGGCUUGGUUGACUCUUUUUCUUUUUUAGGUUAUUAGCUUGGUUGACUUUGAACUGGAAUAACUAUCUACCACGCAUGUUUAUGCAUUGAGAAAAAUCACAGAAUAACUUGAUUUCACUCUUUCUUUGAAUUGGGAAAACAAGAUUUCUUGCUUCAUUUUUGCUUCUCUUUUUCAAAUGUGUCUACACUUGGGUGUAGUACUUGUUUACCAAAUAAAAUCUUGGCAGUACUUGGAAAAAAUAUUUGGCAGUAACAUACUCUUCAAACUCGAUCACUUGAUUACUUUUCUAUUAAUUAUUUGCAUUUACAGCUCUUUCUUUUCUUCCAAUAAUGGCGCACAAUGUUAGAUCUUUUAUAGUGAAAAUUAGGUUGAAGAGUGAGAAAGUGAUUUCUAAAUUUUCAGAGCGAGAGAAGUGAUCACAGUUUUGAUAUAUUGGAGUCUAUUUUUACUGGAGCUGAUUUUGUUGAUGUGCCUUACCUUAUCAACACUCAGGGUAGAUUCCUGAUAAAUAAUAUUGUUACUCUUGCACUUUUAGAAAUUUCGUGUAUAGUUUCGAGAAAUAGUACUAGAGAAACUAACUUUUCAGAUACAUCAACUGAUGUGGCAGUGUUUCAUUUGUUUCAUGUUUAAGUUCACUUUGGAACUUAUUUAUUCACAGCAAAUAAGAUAUUAUCAUAUAUUAAUUGAUACUUAAAAGGUGGCCUCUCUAGUACUACUCUGGAAAACAACACAUAAAAUAAGAUUAAGAAAUUGGUGUCUUCACAAAAGAAAACUAAUAUUGCACAAAAUGGGUCAAUUUCCAAAUCACCUUCACCAACCUACCAACCUUGAAUUAUUCCUUAUUGACACACUCACUGAAAACAAAAUAUGUAGAAUGUGCUAGUAACAAAUAUUGUUUUUCAUACAUUAGUCCACAUCUGAUUGCAGAAUUCUCAGCAAUAAAACCAUCUGCCCCAAUUAAAAGCAUCAAUUUUGUUUGGUAUAUGCCCGAAAGCCAUGAGCAAAGAAUAAUGUCAAAGAUUCUACUAUUUGUGCAAGGAAAACAGCCAAGACAAAGCCCAUGUAAUUUUUAAAUAUAAUCGCCACAAACUCUCCUCAACCAUGGAAAGUUGAGUCGAAGUGGAUGCAUGAGACAUGCUUUUUCUUGUUAAAAAUCCUAUACAUAUGUACACCGUACUUUUGGACUCAUUAUACAGUAGACUACUGUAUACUGUAUUUCUAUACUUUGCUAAGAGUUUGAUUCUUUUCCUCCCCUUCUCUUCAAUGGAAAAUCAUCUCUAGUUCUUUUUCAUCCCUAACAACAUACAGGGUUGGACUGCUGAGUUCAUAACUUUUCUAUUGUUUAUCAAACUUUUCUGAGUUCAUAAUUAUUGAAUUACAAAACGUAAAUGGCAAGAAUCAAACUAUAUGGACUAAAAUGAAACUCUGAAUUCUGCACCCGAUAUCUUAAGUUUGAUUCUCCCCAUCUCUAAUAUUACUUGUACAGAAAAAACAAAUAAAUUUAUUUAAAUAAUUUAUCAUGUAACAAAAGAGAUGAAGUCGGAGAAAACAAAAUCAAAAAAGUUCCAAAGUCCCCCCAAUCUUUCUUCGAGUGUGUAUUUGAUUUGAUGGAGUACCUGUUGAGUGUGUAUUUGAUUUGAUGCUUUGGUAGCUUGCGUCUCAUGUUGCUUAUAUUACUGGAAAUAUAACAAGCUAACAAAAAAUGUUAAAAACGAGAAAGGCAAGUCCCAUUUAGAAACAACAAAACGAAAAAAGAAAAAAAAAACUUAAUUAAGCAUGCAUUAGGCGUGGGGUAUGUUUGUCCCCGUAUUUAGCCUACGUUAUUGUUGAGAGUAUUAUUCCACAUCACAAAUAAAAGUACCGUCUUAUAAAAUGAAUAAGAAAAACAUGAGUGGUAAAAAUGAAGAAGGCUACACAUUUAUCAUUUAUCUUCUCACUACUAUCUUAUUUUUCUUAUGCACUUUUAAUUAUAAAAAAGAACAUUAAAACAUUUAUAAAUGACUUUGAAUCAUUACAAGGCUGAUUGCAGCAACAAUUGCUAAGAACAAUCCAUCACUCUCCAAACUAAUACAGAUUAUCAACUUGUACAAAUAGCGCUCAAUCGCUGAAAAUUAACAAAUUAGCAUUACGUUAACUACUUUAUUUGGUUAAUUACACAUUGUAAUUCAAUAAGCCGAAUCGAGAUUAGCCACUUUAGGAUUUACUUUUUAAAUAGCCAUGUUUGGUUAAGAGGCGACAGAAGAUAGCUACCACUUUUUCUCUCUCGUUGGUUUGCUUGGUUUUCAUUUAGAAUUUUGAUAUUUGUUGCUACUUCAAAAUAAUAAAAAAUAAAAAAUAUUGUAACGGAAAAAAGAAUAAUAAUAAAAUAUUUAUUGUAAGUCAAAACAUAAAAACAAUUUGAGUCUCGGCAAUUGUAACACCUGAUGGCUAACAAAUUUAGUUUCGUGAGCGAGAAUUAAUCGAGGUGUGCGCAAACUGACCCGGACACCUUAUGGUAUUUAUCCAAAAGAAAAAAACAUAAAAACAAUGUUAGAACAAUAGCAUGAUGAAAAAGUUGUUACCCAGAACAACAUCAUUUUGUUGGAUUGAAAUUCAGUUAAAAUUUGGUGAGCCAUUAAUUAUCAUUAAAAAAAAAAAAUUUAAUAAAUCGAAGUAAAAAUUGAAGUCCAAGUCCAACAACUAUGGCGUCUUCCUAUGACAGCCUGAAUUUUUAGACAGCGCCGAGGUGGGCCCCGUCACGGGACGCCUUCAAAAUUUUCAACUUUGAACAAUAAAUCCCACCAUUUGGCCUCUUCCUCCACUCUCUCUACUAUAUAAAACUCCUAAUACCAACUCUCGUUUUGCUCUCACCCUCAGAUUCAUAUUGUUCGUUAGAUCUCUCUCUAUUUUUUCCCGGAAAAUUUUAGCGCUUUCCUGGAAAAUCUUCGUUUUCCUGGCGGCUUUUUGAGAAACCAAGUGGGCGUCGUGGAAAUGGCCGAAGAGUCGCAGAAAUGGGUGCUGAUGGUGACGGCGCAGACGCCCACCAACAUCGCCGUGAUCAAGUACUGGGGGAAGAGGGACGAGACGCUCAUAUUGCCGGUCAAUGACAGCAUCAGCGUGACGCUUGAUCCGGAGCACCUCUGCACCACCACUACUGUCUCCGUCAGUCCCUCCUUUGACCAGGAUCGGAUGUGGCUCAAUGGAAAGGUAAAAGCUUUUUGUUUGUUUACGUCUUCUCAGUAGUCUCUUUGUGUUUGCUUCCCGGGAAAAUGCAUGGGAAACAAAGGAUUUGAAGGUCUUUAUUUGCUGUUAGCUUUGACAUAAACUUGGUGGGUCCCCAUUGGAAGGCAAAAAAACUUUUGGGUUCUAAGUUUUUGCCCAUUUGGUUGGCAAGAAAAAGUAGAAAUGGAAAGGAAAUUGAAAAUUUAUAGUAGCUGUAUCACUAGUAUUGAGCUUUUGAAAUUGGCUCUGUUGCUUUUGCCACAGAAUUCUCAGAGGUUUAAUAUUUGCUUCUCCAAACACCAUGAUCGUUUCGGGAUUUCACUGAUCCGUGGCUCUUUUUUUAUUUUUCCGGUUAGUGUAGGAGAUUUCUCUUUCUGGAGGCAGAUUCCAGAGCUGUUUAAGGGAAAUUCGUAGUCGAGCUACCGAUGUUCAUGAUAAGGAAAAGGGAAUCAAGAUUACUAAGAAGGAUUGGGAGAAAUUGAAUGUACAUAUUGCUUCAUACAACAAUUUUCCUACUGCUGCUGGAUUGGCUUCCUCGGCAGCUGGUUUUGCUUGUCUUGGUAACGGAUAAUACUGAUCAUAUUAUUGUUAAUUUGUUACAUGAUUAGUGCCUUAAGUUUGAGAACACAUGACUGUGUUAAUAAUGUUACUUGGGUACUGGAUUAAUCAUUCUUUGUCAAUAAAUAGUAAUUAAGCAAUGAGCAUAUCAUAGCUAAGCCUCCGUUUCUACUUGCAGUUUUUGCCCUCGCAAAGUUAAUGAAUGCGAAUGAAGAUCACAGCCAGCUUUCUGCUAUUGCAAGGUAGUUUAAUAGUUCUUCAAUUAUCUCAUUUUCAGGUUGCCUGUAUCUUGCUUCAAUUAUAAUGAUUCCAAUUGUGAAUGCCUUGUGCUUCAUUUUCAUUGCUUGAAUGUGGCUGCUGUUCAUGGAAUUUUUAAGUCAUGAUAAGUAUCAGAGUUAUUAUGUUUGCUACUAUAUGGACCUCAUGGUAAUGGAUUUCACUAUGUGUGUUUUUAAGUUCAUCUUAGUAGUUGUGUUAUAAAUCCCUUUUCUUCUGUAUUCACAUUAUAGAGAUUCAAGUAUUGUAGUUGGUGAUGAUAAUUCUCUAAAUUUGUUUGUUCAUACAGGCGAGGUUCGGGCAGUGCUUGUCGCAGUUUGUAUGGGGGAUUUGUCAAGUGGAUCAUGGGAAAAGUAAGUUUAGUUCUUUUAUGGUUAUUGUUAUGUCCUCUGUUAAAAACCAAGUUAUUCUAUUCAGUCUUUAGUGCUGAUUCUUGGUAUCAUUAUCUAUUAAGGAUGAGAAGGGAACCGACAGUCUUGCAGUUCAACUUGCGGACGAGAAGCACUGGGAUGAGCUUGUCAUUGUUAUUGCUGUGGUAUGUAAUAUAUGUUCUAUGCAUUCUGUCAAAUGAUUUUAUUGGCAAAUUUUGGCCUGUGGAUAUGACUUUCUUUUCUUGUCAUCUUGUGCUCGGUUGUUUUUGAAAGAUUUUCCCUAGGGUCUUUUGAAUUUUCGACUUUCCAUCUCUGAGUUGGCCAUGCAUUUCAUUCUCUUCUUUUUAAAAUAUAAUUUUUUGGGUAGUUUGAUGGUUUGACGUUAUUUCUAUUCGUGAUAUGCAUCUUUCUGGUUUUGUAGUAUCAACCAUAUUAUCUUAAAUGUGUUUUCUGGUCAGUAUCAAUGGCACGAUGAUACUUUUCAGUUUUGCAAAAUACUACCUUUGAAUAUUAUAUUAUAUUUAUUUAAAAAAAAUUAUCCCCGUUCAGUUGCACAAAGAGUUAGGAAGAUAUUAAGUAGUCAAGAUUAAAAAAAAAAAUAGUAAGAAUUAAAAGUUUGAUUUAAUGUAUUUAAUUUGAGAGUUGCUACUAUUAAAAAGAAUAAUUUUUAUAAAGUCGAGUUUAUUUUUUGCAAGUCAUGUUAGUGCAUGUUUUGUUGUCAUGAGGUGGAUUUGGUGGAAUGGAAACAUAAUUUGGCAGUUGUACCCAGCCCAAAAAUUUAUAUGAUGGGUGUUUAUAAUGACUGCACAUGCUUAUUUUGGAACGUUGAGGUGCCGCAAUUUGUAUAGAAUCCUGACAGAAGCCAAAGAUGUAUUCUGAAUGUCUGAUUAGGUUUAUCACCCUAUACCCUAAGUUAUUCAAAUCUUGAUUUUGUUUAUUCCAGGUAAGUUCACAGCAGAAGGAAACGAGUAGCACUACAGGAAUGCGUGAUACUGUUGAAACAAGUUUGCUCUUACAACAUAGAGCGAAGGUACAUUCUCCAUUGUCCUUUCACUGCCUAGUUUAAAUGCUAGGAAUUUUACGAACUGAACUUUAAUCCAUAAAUUCUAUAAUUUUGAAUUAUUUGUACCUUCAAGCUCCCUCAUUUUAGUGCACCGUUAAUAGAAAAACACGGUGUCUUAUUCUUUUAGGUCAUCUGCUGUCACUUAUUUUGGUGGGGUCAUUUAACCCUGAUCUAACUUGUAUAUUUCUGUUUGUCUUUUUAUACUGUUACAGGAAGUGGUACCCAAACGCAUAUUAAAAAUGGAAGAAGCUAUAAAAAAUCGUGAUUUUGCUUCUUUUGCACAACUGGCCUGUACUGACAGUAACCAGUUUCAUGCUGUUUGCCUCGACACAUGUCCCCCCAUAUUCUACAUGAAUGAUACAUCCCACAGGCAAGCCUCUUUUUUGCAUUUGUGUUACUUGAAAAGCUCAGCGGUUACAGUAAUUCAUUUAUGUUUUCAUUGAGGUGCGGAACUAGAAACUUGGAAUUCAAUAUUGAUGAAGUAACUAUGUUUCAGGAUAAUCAGCCUUGUUGAAAAGUGGAACCGUGCAGCAGGAACGCCUCAGGUUAGGAAACUAAAUUAUUUUUAACGAGUAUAAAAUACUGAUUGCUGCUCUUUGUAGCAUGAUAAUGUUAAAAAACGGUGAUCUUAAAUUUCUAAGAUUGCUAGUGCUCUGUGAGCAGUCAUAUCUUGAAUUUGGUAUGUCUGAUUGUAUUUUCAGUAGAAGUCCUUCAGCAUAAAAAGAUUAACCUAGUUAAAGCUUCAAUUUUGCAUGUUUUCUUCAUAUAAUGUCUCAACUGAAGCAAAUUGCACAUCCUCAACAGAAGCAAGCUGUAAAGAAUUUCCGAAGAUGUAACUAAUAAAUUUACAAAUUAUUAGUGGAAAAGAAAACUUUUGGCAUUAGCGUUUCAAGUAAUUUGGUUCAGACUUUGUUCUCAUAAUAAACGUUAUUGCUCAAACCAUGCUUGGAAGUUUCCCUGGGGAUAUACCUUUCCUGAAUGGCAAUAUUAUAACAUGUUAGUAAAAGUACUAAAUUUCGGUUGUGACUCUUAAAGGCUUCAGAAAUACUAAUCUGAACCUGCUUAUCUCAUGUGGCACUAAUCUUACUUUAUGUUUAGCUUAUGGCAUCCGUCUGCUACUAAAUAUUAUUUGGGAAAAUAUUUUAUACUCUAUAAGCUUAUUUGAGUUGCAUACUGUUCAUACUAUUUUUUUGAGUAGUUGAAAAUAUUUUAAUAACUGACAGGUGGCGUAUACAUUUGAUGCGGGGCCGAAUGCGGUUCUAAUCGCACGUAACCGAGAAACAGCUGCCCUUUUGGUUCAGAAGCUGCUAUUCUGCUUUCCUCCAAAAUCUGAUGCAGAUUUGAACAGGUAAUAUUUGUGGGCUUUCAUAUGACAUUUCCUCAAGCUUAAGAGAUUCUUAUUUCUGUGUGGUUUCCGCAUCAAUGAUUUUUCUGAUGGCACCAACCUCGCUCCCCCUUGUGUGUGUGGCUUUCUCUUUUAAAUUUUUUCUUAAUUCUUUUCACAGUUUCGUUCUUGGUGAUAAGUCCAUUCUGAAAGAUGCUGGGGUUGAGAGCCUGGAGGCCAUCGAAAGUUUGCCUGCACCUCCAGAAAUCAAGGAUCCAUCCCAGAGGCACAGAGGAGAUGUUAGUUACUUUAUUUGCACAAGACCUGGGAGAGGUCCAGUUGUGCUGUCAGAUGAAAGUCAAUUUCUUCUCAACCCUGAAACUGGGUUGCCAAAGUAAGCUGAGAAGAUUUCUCUUUCUUUCACGGUGUUCUGUUGUUUCUCAGGACGACUCAAAUGGUUGUAUGAGCCUGAAUAGUUCUUUCAGAUGAUCCUUUUAAGCUGGACCCAAGAAUUGCCAUAAAAUGAUUAUCCGAGUUCAUCUCAGUUAAGACAGUUUCUGUUGCUUGUUUCAUGUAUCUUUAACUUACUUUUUGCUCUUUUAAUCCAAUUAUGGUCUUUGUGCUCAUUGUCUUUGACACAUUAACGAAUAAAUUGUCUAUUGUUCAUCUGAAAGUGUGACAUUGUGAUAACUAUUAGCAAUUCAUUCCCGUUCUCUACAUGCCCGUCCUAAAUGUCAAUCAGAAAUUUUGAACUCGAGUUAAAGUAGCUUGAAUUCCACCAACAUCAUGGCAUUGUAUGACCUUUAUACUGAUGCAUACCGGAAGCAAAUGAUCGACAAACGUCCAGAUCCAAGAACAAGCAAACGAUCGACAAACAUCUAGACCCAUCAGCUUUAUGAAAUUCACCAAAGAAGAGAGAAAAUCUCAAUAAUUUUAAUAAUGAUAUUAAUAAGCCGUCAAUUACAACGCUUAAAGUUGUUCAAAUAGAAAACAUAGAACUCCAAAAUCGUAGGAAGCUUCUUAAAACUUAAAUGACAAGAAAAUAAUUACAUCCUAAUCUUAAUAAAAGUAAACAAUUAAUUAUUCUAAAAUUAAUAAAUAAAAACAUUAAAUAAAAUAUUUUCCUCGCCAGAACCCUAUUCUUUCAUGAAUAAGCCAAUUGAUCAGCAGUACAAGAACACUUCCUCCUGAUGCUUUCUUUUCAUCUCCUUUUUAUUCUUUCCUACUUUUUCCUUACACAUUUGCAAAAAAGUAUCCUAGAAUUUACCCAUAUGGCUACUGCCAUGUUUUCACCUUCCAUGCCUUUUUUUUUUUUUAAGCACAAACGAUAGUUUAAACUAUACGUUAUGAGAGAUUCUCUCACACACACACUAUCAUGGUAUCGUGGGGAUUCGAACCUAAGACCACUAGUAUGCAAGUCAAGGUCCUUUUUCACUUGGCUAAACCCCGUUGGCACCUUCCAUGUCUUAUAUUUGCACCAAGUGCAUUGCAUCUGUCAUUUGUGCAGAAUUUAUCAAUCUUCACAAACUAUUUUCAAAAAGUCUCAUUCCUUUCCAAUAUUUAAUCUAUUUGAAAAUUUUAAGCCAGUUUCGUCCAAUUCCUUACAAAAUCUAUCUUGCUGAAGCAAAAUAUUAAACAAUGACAGAAAUUUGAGUCUGAUACAAAGGACAAAAAAAAGGGAAGAGAAAGAGCUGCCCUGUAUCAACAAUGGGCUACUUCUCUUCAAUCAGAAGUGCCUUUAAGAUAGCUUCACUGAUACCAUCUGCAGCUGGAAACAAGUGUCCAGCACCUGGUAACUCAUGGUAGUGAAUCCAUGGAAGCUUUUCUGCAAUAUAGCGUUGCAGUUCGACUGGGACAAGCAGAUCUUCAUCACCCUGCCAUAGAUGGACAGAGCCUUCCUUACCGGCAAAAGGGUUCUUCAGAUCUAGAGGAUCAAAUUCCCAGGUCCCAAAUCCAACCAUCAUGUCACGAAGGACUGACUCAAAUUCUCCUUGCUGCUUGGCCUGUACCUGCAAUUGAUAAAUGAAUCAUCAAAGCUGGUAGCAAGGACGAAUGCCACAUAAAAUGAGUCAAGUAUAGUUGGAUGAGAGUAUUUUCAACAAGAUUACAGCACAAACAAAACUCCCAACUGCCCUGUAAACCAGGAGGCUCCUGAAAACCUCAACUAGCACUAUAGCUCAAGGGUUUCAAAUUGUUGUACAACGGUUUGAGAAGUUAAUUUUUCACAUCAUAUGAAGCUUUAUAUUGAAUCUUCUAAGGUACGUGGUAAUGGACCGAGCUGAAGUAAUGCCUCAUGUUGUGUCCCUCUUAUUGAGUUCAAUAAAAAAGUCCUAAUCAUUUACCGAAUAAGAAAAGUACCUUGUUAUCUCUUUCAGAAACGUUCGCAUUCCGUAUGAUCUCCAAAUCUUGGCGAGAAAAAAUAUUCAUAUUUGGGUUACUACUGGAUACAACACUGGAUGUAGGAAAUAGUUUCUGAGUGUUCCACCAGUAGAUUAGCCAUGGUAUGUGGUGAGCAACUCGAAGUGCCCAUUGAUCCCGCGGAGGUUGUUUAUAAUAGGCACUGGACAAGUUGGCAGGCAAGCCUGGCCACCAAUAGUUGACAACAGGAGCAAUCAGUGUUGCUCCUGCUAGCCUGUCAGAAUCCCAAACAUCAAACUUGAGAAAAACUUCAAUACUGAUUAACAUAUCAGGUAAUGUAGAAUUUGGUCAUCAUUGAAGUAAAGCCUUGUAUCCAGAAUUUGAUACAAGCAUAAGUACCAGAUAAAACCUACUUUCAAUGAAGUUCCAAUGCUGGUGUAAAGUAAUUAAUGUAUUAUGCAGCCUUUGCAAAUCUUUACUUCAACAUUUAGAAGGUUUCCAUAUUGUAUCCAGCCAAAAUAAAGUUAAAUACAUAUGCAGCAUGAUAUUUGAAAUUAAUUCAUCCCUCUCUCUCUCUCUCUCUCUCUCUCUCUCUCUCUCUCUCUCGAUUGGUAUUCUAACAUUCACAAAGGACAUGUAGAGAACUGCCUAUGCUAUCCAUGAGGCCUGUAGGAAAGUCUUACCUGUGAGGGAUGUACCGAAGACACUUCCAGAUGACCUGUCCACCCAUAGAAUAUCCAAUUACAUAAAAUUUGGAUCCCAGUCCCAGCUGGUCACCAAGCUCUUCUAUAUCUAAAGCCAAACUCUUCCGCGUUCGCUUAGGAUCUGGAUCACUUUCACCAUAUCCCGGUCUGUCAAAAGAAACAAUGUACACCCCUAAAUCUUCAAGCACUUCCUGAAAAAGAAUCCAUCAAGAAGUUAACCAAUCUAAUUUUUGGACACAAACUUCAAAAACCAAUGAAGACUAUAAAAUCAAUUUGAAAUUGAGAAACAAAUUGAAAACCUUAGUGACGGUUGUUGCAAUCAGUGCAUCAUGUCUGGUAGAACCAAAGGCAUGAACAUAAAUAAUCUUAUAUCUGGCCACUUCUUUUGGAACACCAUGUUCCUUGUAGGCCAAAUAUCUUCCAUCCCUCAGUUUUAUUCUAGAUGCCGUGACGAGUGGGCCGCUGGGGGAGCCACAAAGUUUUGGAGGGGGUGGUUGGAUGGCCUGAUAUGCCCAUGCCAGCAACCCAACUAACAAGAGAAAUGUGAGUCUCUUAAACAUCUCUGAUGCCUGAACCCCUGAGAAUGAAAAAUGAAACUUUGCUGAAAAACCAGUACAAGAAGCGAGGAGCAAAAUAGCACUGACCUUGAGGACACUAUAAUAAGGCUUAAUUUGGGCAUUUCCCCUUAAUUUGGAUGAUUAAAGUUUUGAUGAGAUCACAUAUUGAUUACCUCCACAAGUUCACCAAUGAAGAGGUUAUCUGAAUGAAACAACAACCAGAAGAACAGGAGAGCCAAGUUUAAAAAGCAGGGUAAACAGAACAAAAAUACACACAAAAUACAGAAAGGGUCAAUAAACAAAUAAAUCAGUUUGCACAUUAGAAACUCCCAUCAUUUAGUUAAUUUUACAAGAAAUUACAUGAACUUCAAUAAUCUAUCUGCUUUGCCCUGUUCUUCAUCCAAAAAAUAAAAAAUAAAAAUGUAGCAAUAAAUCUGUCCAUUGGGUUUCCAUUGUGUCCAAGAAAGCAGUCAAUAUGCAGAAACAAGCAUCAACCAAAUCAACCAAUCAUUUUUAAGACAGAAAAACUUGAAUAUAUGGACUGCAUCAUAUAAACUAGACUCAGAGCAUAAAACCCAGAGAGAGAGAGAGAACGUACGUUAAUUACAGUUGAGUGCAGGAAGAACAGCUGUUGUGCUGAAGCAAACCAUUAUAUAUCUUUAACUUAACAUUUGGUUUUAAUUAAUUAAUUAAUUGUAUUACAAGUAAGUAAACAAGACCGCCACCUAAACAAGACCGCCACCUAACUACCGAACCCAACCUAAAGUCGAUGGCAUAUUUUUCGCUCCAUUCAUUUUGACCUACAUUUUUCUGGUCAGCAGCAAAGCAGAGAGGAGGUUGUUUAAUCCAGAAGUUGCAGGUAAACCUUACAAGACGACAAAAUGGAUUAUUUUCCGCCAUGCUGUCGUAAGAUUGACCUAAAUUCUUUUGUUGUCGUCUGUUAUAAAUUAUUUUCUUUUUACAAGAAAAUGGAUAAUUUUGUGUUGUCGUAAGAUUACCCUAAAUUUCAAGCGUUUUGAAAAAUAUGAUAAUUUAAAAUGUUGACAAUCUCUAAGAAAAAUUUAUCUGAUAUCCCACAUAGCAUGAUGAAGUGAUGCAGUGGAUUUACCCAAAAUCAACUCCUUCACUUUUUGACCAGAAGAAAAAGUGAUUAGGUAAGUUUUUUUUUUAAUAUUUACAAUAAUUGGUUUGGGCCUAACAAAAUAUUUAUAUAAUUGUUGGGGUCUUUUUUGGUCAAAAAACUUGUCCAGGCUUGUUGAUUCUUGGAGUACUAUAGAGUGAUAGAUCAAGCUUUUGUUGUCCUCUUUUUUUGAGAUAGCGCCCAAAGCAUCCCAAGGGAGAAGUAAGUCACAGGGGAGUACUCUGUUCUUCUUCCAGCAGCUACAUGUUUUGUGUUAACGUUUCCGGUGGCUUUGGAAAGAGUUGGAGAUUGUGCAUUGAUGUUGUAUAGGCUUGGCAUGAGAGUUUGCUUUGGUGAAUCAAGAUAUUACUAUGCUUUGCAUGAGAAGCUUGUGGUGUGGGAGCUAAGAACCCAUAAGUUUAGCAAGAGAUAGAGAGUUCGAAAGGCAAAAACUUGGAAUUGUAGAUGGACUAUAUCUUCUAGUAGCUCUGGAUUGCUCCCACCAGCUUGAAUGGGUUUCUUGAAACAAAGAAAAUUAAUUAUGAUGCUUGACUCAUGAUUUACAGAAAUGCUUGGGUGAUGUUUAGGGUUUAGCAUGGUCUUCUAAGAGAAAAUAAGCAUAAAGAAAGGAUUAAGGCUUGAGAUUUGGUGUCACAUCCCUAGAUCAGCUCCGCCAUAGAAUGAUAUUAUCCUCUUUGGGCCCCCCUCUCUGCCUUCAAGAUUUUGUUUUUGAGAACUCACGAGCAACUUCCCAAUGGGCCACUCAUCUUGGGAUUGCUCUAGCUCAAACUCGCUUAAAUUCGAAGUUCCCAUGACUCCGAAGCCAGUGAGCUCCCAAAAGGCCUCGUGCUAAAUGGAGACGGGCAUGUACAUAUAAGACACAUCACCCCCUCUCUAUUGGUCGAUGUGGAAUGUUAUAUAGGUAUCCAGUGACUAUGAAAAUGUCUAUAUCUUAUGCAUGCAUAAAGAGAAAUGUAGGUGUACAAAUUGAUGAUCAUCAAUGAUACUAUUUAUAUAUAGUACGUAUUAAGGUGAUCAAGGGUUGUGAUGAUAUUAAUCCAUGUUUUAUUAUGAUUGUCGACAAUGUAAAGAAAGAUUGGCCAAACUGGAAUAGGUAGUCCAGUAAAUUGAAUAUUUUUGGAAAACGUGGAAGGAAUGGACUAGAGUUCGAACACCAAAAGAUAUGAAAUUGUAUAGGUUACAAAUCGGUAUUGGUGAUGAAGUGAAAUAAAAUCAUUUGAUAUGGCCAAAUGUAUCCAUGCAAAGACAAACUUUUUAUGAUAUUCUCGUAGUAUAUUAUAUAGAUGCAUCCAUGUUUACUACAUAUUUAUGAAGAUUUACAUUUAUAUGAAAAUCUAAAAAGAUUAUGAAGUGUUUGAAGCAUAUCGUCAGAAACGAUCUCUUUUGAAGAAUACAUAAGAAUAAGUUCUAAGAGAGAUGUAAAGUGCUAUAUAUUAUAUAAAUUGUUCAAAGAAAAAGAAGUUAAGGAGCCCGAAGCUCAAUGUAUGUAUUCAAAUAUCAUGAAAUGAAAGCGAUCUAAUUGCCUUAGUGAGUACUUUGAUUGAAUUAUGAGUUCGAGAUUAAGUUCAAUAUCGUUGCAAUGUAUUCAAAUUUUUAAAGAAAUUUUCAGAAUAUUUAGGUCUCUUGAAGAGCCUAUGACAUGCUAGCAUAGUACACACAAAUUUAUAUGAAUAGCUUAUUACAUUAUGCAAUUAUAUACUCUUGUCCUGGUAACGGUAACGUAUGAGUUUUCUUAUAUUAUUAUUUUGAUGAUAUUAUAGAAUAUGAUGUUAUUUUAAGAAUUGUUAAUAUGAAAGGAUUUUUGAAAAUAGUCUAGAUAUUUUUGGUAUUACUCUACCUCAACAGGGAUUCAAAGAAAUGAUAUACAUACAUCCGCCAAUGAUGCUAUUGAAGAAAUUUUAAUCCAAGCAUUACCAAAGCCCGCUUUGCAGGAGGAAAAUGAGAUAUCAAUAUUAUUUGUGUUGCAUCUUCAAAUAGUUUAAGUUUGUCGUCAUCACGGGGAGUAAUUCAACAUGGGGAGCAUUCAACAAUUUUCUACAUACAAGAAAUAUGUGUUCUGUACUCUUUUCCCUUCGACUGGGUUUUUGUCCCAUCGGGUUUUUCCUAGCAAGGAUUUACGAGGUCCAACACCAUAUCAAUAAUCCAGAAGAAUGGUGCACUCUUUAUCCCUUCGCUUAGGUUUUGUCCCAUUGGAUUUUUCGAGCAAGGUUUUUAAUGAGGCAAUUAUGUCAAUUGUAUGGUAGACAUCCAAGGGGGAGUGUUGCAAAUGCAUGAGUUGGUAGAUGACCACCAUACCUCUUAGCAUACACCAUUUCUAAUUCUAUGUAACCUAUACACUAAAUACCAUAAUUAUGGGCUUGUAAUUUAUGAGUUAUUAAUGUCUUCUUAUCAUUGUAAGCCUAUAAAUAAGAGGUCUUAUCAGGAUAAGACAUACAUGUUGAUUGAACAAUUUCUAUUGUCUUUCUCUACUCUUCAUUUCUCUCUACAAAUUCCCUUCGUUAUAUAACAUUAUUGAAAUUACCUGUAGGAUGACUAAGAAUGCCUAGAAGAGGGUAAAUGGGCCAAUUAAAUAUUAUAAUCAAUAAACAAAAACUAAACUUCGGUAGCAAGAUUGAUAUGACUUAUCAAUCUUGAAAUAUGUUGAACAUAAAAUAAAGAAACACGCAGAUAAUUAUUUUAAGUGGUAAAACCCCACCUCUGGGGAAAAUCCACAGGACUCCUCAGUCCAACACAAAUCUACUAUAGAACAAUGAUUCCAAGAAGUACUCACACACUUAUCCUAGACAUGUUCUAGAUAAUGUUUACCGACUUCUUCAUAACUCAACUUCUGUCACGGGAUGAUCUUCGACACUCCUUAUGUUGAACGCAAUAUUGGUCGCAACUGCUUCAAGCUCACAGGAGGAUAAACGCCACAACAGUCUUGGUACCCUCAACUGUAUGCAUCACCGACAUGCAUAUGAAUGCAAUAUGAAUGAUGAAAGGAUUUAAUAGAUCACCAAGCAAACAAGGAACACUUGAUGACUUAUCUAAACAAUAUGCACGACAGCUUUCUAAAAACUAAUUCAAUAUGCCCAAAAGUUCAACACAUUGAACAACUCUGUAUUUGAAAAGAAAACCGCACCUUUUUAUUCAAUACAUGUUUUCUCUUGAAGAAAAGAAACCCAAGAGACCAUUAAUUCUCUCCAACUAUGACUCUACAACCUAGUCCAAUUUAUGCUCUUCAUUAAGGCGCCAACCAGAAGACAAAAUACUAUCCAAUUAUGAAUAUGAAUGAUUCAAUAUGGACUCAAAGUGAUGACACCAAAACGCUCUAGGAAAGUAAUCUUAAGAGAUAAAAUCUAAUCCUAUUAAAAAUAGGAUUAACAUAAAAAUAUUUGAUUGAAAAUAACUCCAACUAGGAAUCCUAUAAUGAAUGCAUGAUUAUGUCAUGAUUUACCUGAAAUCAGCUUCUUCAUAUCAAUCAAGUCAUACUACGAAAAUCCGGAUUGAAUGUGUUGCUCCAAAACUUCCAGUAAACAAUUCACACACUAAUUCUCAACCUAUACUAGAGUCUAAGAAAUGACUAUAUAAUUUUCAUACUAACAAUUAUGCACUUUGCUAUGACUUCAAGUAUCAUGUACUCAAUUUUCCCAUGCCCACCAUGUUUCCUCUUUAUCUUUUUGACAUAUGUGCUCUCGCUUAACAUAAACUUAACUAUGUUAAGUCUCUUAGCAUUUAUUAAAAAUAAUAUAAAUAAUAAUAAAUAAGCAACGACUGGUUUCUUUCGUUCAUCUACUCUACAACCACCAUGUUCUCCCCACUGCCCCAAAGCCUCCCUAUCUCUCUUUGAGGACUAUAACAUUGUUGGUAUGUUCUGCCACCAAGAAGAGAACCGGCAAGUUCCUAGACAUGACUAAUGUGAGAGCAAAUAUAUUCAACGUCCAAUUCGGCGAUGCCAUGUGGAAAAUAAGGUUGCCCUAAAAUUAUAUUAGUUAAACCAAUUAAUCUGGUUUAUUAGAAUAAUAAACAUGGGAGUUAUCGUAUUUAGACAAUGGAGUAAUGACACUAAAUCUCAUUGAUUAUCUCCAUCCAAUUAUUCAAGAAAUGAAUAAUUAUAUUAAAAGAGUAUUAUUCCCUCCUUAAUUGGCAAAAGAAAUGUUACAAAAAAGGAAUGGAAGGUAGAGACAAAGAAGGUAACUUAAUUCUGAAAACCGUAGAGAAACACUCUCUUAUGGCUCUAGCCCCCACUCUCUUUCUUUUCCUAAAAAGAAAGCUUCAUCUUUUUAGUUAAAGCUGUAUCUUCCAAAGACUAUUUAAUAACUUAGGCAUCAGAUGACCUUUGACCAAUAAUCCUUGGCUGUGCUCUGUUGACCACCAUUUAUUUUGCAGGAUUCGAGGAAGAAGACGAUCAAGAGAUGCGAGGAUUUUCUCCGAAUAUUCAAGGGAAGGAUUUUGCACAAACAAAUUGGUGAGAAAAUUCUUAUUUGAACAAUAUUUACCCUAAUAAACUUGACUAACCAAAGAUGCAUGGUUGCAAAGGAUGCGCCAACACUGCUUAGCCAAUAAAGCUUGAUUAAAAUAAUCGAAAUCUUGAAAACCCAAGCCACCAUAUUUUUAUGACGACAAAGAGAACUUCAUUUAACCCAAUGUAUCCCUCUUUAAUUGCGCCUUUUACCCACCAAAAAUUAGCACACAGAGAAGAUAAUUCUUUGCAAAAUCCUUUAGGCACAUGAAAAGCACUCAUAGAAUAAGACGAAAUAGCUUGAACCACCGCCUUUAAUAAAACCUCAUUCCCUCCUGUCCAGAGAGAUUUUUCCUUCCAACCAUUAAGCCUACUCCAAAUACGAUCAUGCACUGAAUUAGAAAGCUCCCAAUGCCCUCGACUAACCAUUGUAGGCAAACCUAAAUAUCUUUCAUGGCAAGCAACAACCGGUAUACCAAGCACAUUGGCCAUCACAUCUAUGAUUAUCUGUUGGGCAUUAGGGCUAAAAGAUAAAUUUGAUUUAUGUAAAUUAAUUUGUUGACCAUAUACUUCCUCACAAAAGAGAAAAUUUCUAGCAAGAUAAAGCACACAUCCUCCUUCAAUUCAAGAAAAGGAAGGCUAUCAUUUGCAAACAACAUAUGUGAAAUACAUGGACCGGUCCUGCACAUAUUCCUAAUAAUUUCCCAUUGAAUAUCGCUUGAUGUAAAAGGUCCAAGAAAGCUUUAGCACGAAUAAUAAAUGAAUAAGGUGAAAGAAGAUAACCAUGUCAUAAACUCCUUUGUGGGAUAAUGAACCUAAAUGGAUGCCCAUUCUAGAGUACCGAGAACGACACAUAUUGCAGACAAUCCAUGAUUCGAACAACAAAAUUUGAAGCAAAACCUAAUCGCAAUAUCAUGGCCUCCAAGAAACACCAUUCUACCCGGUCAUAAGCCUUAGCCAUAUCUAAUUUGGUAGUCAUUGUCACUUGUUGAUCGUCCUUCAAUUUCUUAACGGAAUGCAUAGUUUCAAAAGCAACUAGUACAUUGUCUAAAAUAUUGCGACGAGGAACAAAGCAUUAUGUGUAUCAUGAAUGACUUCAAGUAUAAUCAAAUUUAGAUGAUUAACAAAAGUUUUUGCCACCAACUUGUAGAUAACUGUACAUAAACUUAUAUUCCUAAACUGUUCAAGGAGUUUUAACCUUUAGAAUAAGAGCAAUCACAGUGUGAUUAUGAGGACGAACACUAGACUCACCAUUCAAAAUUGUUUAAAAAGAUGCACUGACAGUGUCCCCAAAAAUAUGUCAAUAUCGUCGAUAAAAAAAAGGGUUGGCAUGCCAUCAGUUGCGAAACAGUUCAUGAUUGUCUAACCAUAUCCUCACACCUUUCCUCAGGGUCCAUAUCUCUUCAAACUGGACACGGUGCCCUUUUUUUUUAUGAUGGGAAGCAACACCAGGUGGAUCUAUCAAAAGUUCAAGAAGCAGAGGUUUGUGGUCAGAACUAGAGAUGAUCAGAUGGUGACAAACAACAUGCACAAAAGAAGACAUUACAUCCAUAUUUGCUAAACCUCGGUCAAGUUGCUCUUCUACCAAAGCCUCACCAACCCAUUGAUCAAGUUGCUCUACUACAGUGAUUUUUUUAACAAAAUAUUUUAACUCUCCCUCGCAUCCUUCUCUCUUCUCUCUCGCGAUAAUCACUCUCGUCGUUUCUUUUCCUCCAUCAAUUCCUUCUACAUCCUCAAUCUCUGCCGCCAUCUUCUUUUUCCUCCAUCUCUACCGCCAUCUUCUCCUAAACCCCAAAAAUUAGAACCAACAAAACAUAAUUUCUUAGCCCUCUUUUGAUAUCUCUGAUUCGAUUUGAUUAGAAUCCAUAGCUAAAGACGCGAUGGGCCAUUUCAACCUCUCGGACUUCAUCGUCUCCAUUAUCCUCUGCGUCAUUGUCUCUGUUCCUUUCUCUCUCUGUCUCUCUCCCUCACCCAGUCUCAGUGAGUGAGUUGAGUGAGAGAAAAAAAUAUUUUCUCUCGCUCUUUGGCCUCAUCCACCUUCAAGAGACACAAGAUAGGUAAUUUUCCGUUUGAUUUUGAGUUGAGGUUUGGAAUUUUGAAUUAAGGUUUCUCUUUUUGGGUUAAGGUUUCGAUUUCGAAUUAGGGUUUCAAUCAGCAAUUGGGAGAUGUUCAUCAAUGGGCUUGUGAUAGGGAAUUACAAGAGUUACAUAUUUAAGUAUUUGAUCUCUCUUUGACGAUUACAAAGCACUAGACCUUCUCUACAAUUUGUUUUUAGCCCAAAAAAGUUGUAAACUACUCAAACAUAUAUGAAGCUUUUGCUAUACAGUUUUGUUUGUGUCUUCAUUUUUGUUUUUGUUUGAGUCAAGCAGUUUUGUUUCUUGGUUUUGAGUAAAUGCAAAGUCUUUGAGGUAUAAGUUCUUUUCAAAUCUGAAAUUUAUGGUGGUGGUGGUUCAUUUUUGUAUUAAACCUGUAAAUGGCGUGGUUUCGUUACUUUUGAAUUUUGUUUUUGGAUUAAUGAACGCUUUUCUUCCAUUUCCGUAUUCUUUUAGAAGUUUGUUGGGUUGAAUUUAGAUUUGCUAUUGUUUUGAUAGUUUGAGUCUAAUGCGUUGUUUGGUUACUAAGAAAAUGUACUACCAGAGUAAAGCAUUUUGCAUUUGCUAAGCUUUACCAAAAUAGAGUACAUAGUCUACAUUUUGUCUUGUUGAUCUAGUUUCUUUUAGGUUCACAAAGUCCCCAUUUUUGUUAUGUUCUGUGAUUAUGAUGAAACAUAAUUAUAAUUAAAUUAUAAUUAAAAAAUUAAUUAUGGAAUUAAUAUUGAUAUAUAUAAAUAUUGUAUUGGGCUUUUAAAUAUGAUUUAAAGGAAAUGGACAAAAUAGCCCAAAAAGCUACUGGGCCCAAGGGAUAAGUGGCAUAAGAUGACAUGACUUAUGGACCAAAUGGAGUCCUAAAUACCUACCCAAUUGCCUUUUGUGUUGUCCUAUAUAAGCAAGUGUUGGAGAAAACCUAGCUAGGGUUUUUUGGUUUCCUACUUUGGUUGAUGAGUGAUCAUCUUUGUAUCUCAUCUUCCAUAAAACAAAAAUUGGUCCAAUCAAGAAGUAGACUAGCAUCCAUACUUCUUGAUUGCCUUCUCUUCAUCUCUAGGAUCAUUUGGUGUGGUGAGGUAGAAGACUCCAAUCUUAGAGCCUUAAGGUGAAGGAGUCAAAAUCAAGAUAAACAAAAGGCUUUUCCAACAAAGGUGUUCAUUCUUGAGAAAUCAAGAAAAGGUCAUCAAGGGUAAAAAUCUAUUCCCUUUUUCUUUUUUCUAUUUGUGUUCAAAGAGACUAGGCUAAGAUACUUGGUUUAAAAUGAAAAAGGUUUACCUCAACUAGUAUAAACAAAAUGAAUCCGCCAUUUAGAAUUUUUUUGUUGUAUAGGUUGUGGGUAAAGUUCAUUUCCUAAGCAGUAGAUGCAUAUUUCCUUCAAUCAUCAGAGGCAUAUUGUGGAUGGUGAGUGGUCUCUGUCUCCAUGGUUUGAUUACACAUGGGCUAAGAAUCUUAGGUUUGAAAAGAUUUCGUUUUGUUAUUCUUCGGGUUGAAAAUUUACCUCAUUGACCCUAUAAUAAUUUUGUUUUUGGAGUUGUAUUCCUCUUUUGUUUGUAAUCCGACUAUGGAAUGCGGAUAUUAUUGCAAUGCAUUGUUUUUGGAGUUUUUUUUUUUUUUUUUGGGAGUUGUAUUAUUGCAAUCCGAUUAUGGAAUGUGGAUAAUAUGGAAACUGAAAAUUUUUCAAUGAACUGCUUAAUUGAUUAUAGUCUUCAAUUUGGGCUUCAAUUUCUUCAGAUUUUAGAGAUCUCUCUUUAGGUUUAUUUGGCUUGACUGGAAAGUUGGUAUUUGAUAGAUUCUUGGUGAAAGUAAUGUAUAUAGUUUUUCCUAAUCUUAUAUCUCUUUUUGUUUAAUUUCAGUAUGCGAGAAGUGGGAAAAAGAAGGAAUUUUACACCCAAACGCAAUUGGACUAGGUUCGAGAUGAAUGGUCAUGUCAUGUGCUAGACUGGAUUUGAGUUUGAACAUUCUCCUUGUUGUUUUGGUAGUAUUUUGCUUAUAUAUGUAUGGAUGAUGGAUGGAUUUUGGUUUAAUGGCAGGGGAACUCAUAAGUUUACCUAUAUAAGUAUGUUUUUUGAUGUUGCAAUAGGAAUAUAUAUGAAAUGGAUGUGAUGCCUAUAUAUUUUGAGACAGAAACCAAGUAAAAUGUGAUGUGAAACAUGGAAAUUUCUUAUCAGAAGGGUCAAUAAUAUUUAUAGAAAGUCAAAUCAUUUGUAGGCUUUCCACUUUAGCAUAAACACAAAAAACGAAGGCAUAGACCAUAAUUUGCCAUAGCAGUAGCAUCUUUUCUGAUGUGGUAAGUCAUAAUACGCAUCAGUAUAAUCAAAACCUUGAUGCUAUAAUGAGUAUUUAGCAUCAGUGUUAAUAUAUUCCCUGAUGCUGCAUAGGAGGUCAACGCCCUUUUGGCAUAUGGUAACAACUUACGCAUCGGAGAUUAUGUAAAUAGCGAUGCCGUAAAUAAUCUUUAGCAACGGAUAAUAUCCAAAGCAUAUGACUAUAUCAUAAGCAUCGGUUCCCAAUACUUCGGUUCUUAGGUACCUUUAGCAACGGAUAUUAUCCGUUGCUAAAAAUCAAUUUUCACAUAGUGGUCUCUUGCAAGAACACAAAAUCAAGGCUAUGCUCCUUGAGGAAAUUCCGAGGAGCCCUGAAAGUCCAGGGAUUUCUAAGACCACGGACGUUCCAACUAAGAAGUUUCAUGUAUUUGGGUGGGACUGACCCACCAAUUGGUCCUAUAUUGAAGACUGUAACGAAAAAGGAGAAUCGGGGUUACCUCUAAUUUGCUUAAGCAAAGGAGAUGAGGCAAUAUCGGCAGUGUCAGAAAGCCUCUUAACAUGACUUCAGCACACCCACCUAAAGUGGAACAUUUAGAAGAUACAAAACCUUUUGGGUGUGUAAAGUGUUUAGGGAGAAAUUGUACUGGAGAUUCGUUAGACAGAGCAAGGGAAAGCAAAGAAGCUUUUUAAAGGGCUCAAGUUUGGGUGAUAGCAGGGGCUUAUUAGCCAUUAGAUCAGAAAUACCAAAAUCAAAAAGACCACAUUGUCCAUGAGGACAUGUCAAAAAGCAAUUGCUCAGUAAACAUUUAUGAUUAAGUAACCAUCGAAGCACCAGCAACUGCCGGUAACAGCUAUAUGAGAUCCUCACCAUGAACCACCGGUUGUGUCACUGUAUCAGGAUGACCAACAGGAGAGAGAAGAGGCAGGAAAUCUGAGAAUGAUCGGCCACUACCUUUACCCUGACGUGAACCGAAGAAAGGGGACAUCUCAACAAUAUAUUUCAUCCAAGUACCAUAGGGCUUUCCUUCCUCAACACAUAGAGUAUUUGGAGGCUGCGAACAAUCACUAAUCCCAUGGAAAAGACAAUCGUAAUUAUGGGAAAAAGCUGGAAGACGUUCAUCGGUGAAAUCCACCCAACAAGGAGUAUCAUGAGUAAAAAAGAUAUUCAUUCCCCUUAAAAGGAGAAAAACUCUCAUGUAACAGGGAUAACACUUUUUGCUAUCCUCAGCCAAUAAUGCAAUGACACGUAGGAUAACUUUUUUACGUGUCAUUGCAUUAUUGGUCGGGGAUAGCAAAACAGUGCUAUUCCCGUUACAUGUAAGUUUUUUUGUCUCAAAAGAGGUUUUUUAUCUAUAUAUAUAAAGCAAAAGGCAGAGAAUGGUGAAACAUUCAAAAUACCAGAAAAUGCCCUUGGUUAAUGCAAAUAUUAAGAAUUAAAAUUAUUAAUUAAAUGAGGAUAAUAUGGUAAAUUCACAAUUUUUCAUAUUUAAAAAAUUAAAAUUAAAAGAAAAUUCAGAUAAUGGAUCCUAUUUUUAUGGAACACAACUAUCCAUUAUCUUUUUUAAUUCUAAAAUAAAUUUAAAUUUUUAAAAAAAAAACCUCUCGCAGGCGCAGAAGCGCGUGCAGAGAGGCUAGUUAUUAUUAUUAUUAUUUUAUUAUAUAUAUAAUAAUUUUAAUAGUUUUAUUUAAAAUUAACAAAGUUAAGUCACAUGUCAAAAAAAACAAGGAAGAAACAGGUGGGACACAGUAAAAAUAGAUACAUGAAAAUUGACUCCCAAUGUUGGCUACAUAUUAAGUUAAGUUUUCUUACAUCUCCUACAAAUUUUUUGAAAUCAUUUAAGCUAUUAUAUUAUUCUAACCACAUAACAUUUACUUAAUUUGCUUUCCGUUUUAUCAUUUUACGUAAUGAUUAGUUCUUUUUUUCCUUUAUGAAUGGGGUAGUGGAAAUUCGAACUUGAAACCUUUUAUAACCUAAAAAAGAAAAGUACCAUUAGACCAAAUAACUAGUUUGGUGAUAAUCUAACUCUUUGUAAAUUAAACAAAACAAAACUCUUUGAAAAUUAAACAAUAAAGUCCUUCUUUUUUGUCAAAGUUAGAAAGGGAAAUGGGAGAAACUCACACACACAUAUAUUAUGGGGGCUUGAAUCGAGGACCACUUGAAAUCACAUCAAAAAACUUGGCCAAUCCAAUUGGAUUGGAUUUCAAGUAAACAAUCGCCUUGAAAAAUUCGUGAUUCUCUCAAUGCAAGACUCCUUAGAAAUUAAACAAAGUCCUAUUUCAAGUAACUAUUUACCUUGAGCAUUUCGUGAUUCACUCGAUGCAACACUUUAAGAUAAAGUCUAGAUACAUGCAAUCUCUCACCCUCCAAAAUAGAAGUAUUUUAUACUUAUACCUUUUUAAAAUUAUUUAGGCUGAAUUAAUUAUAUUGUCCCUUAAGACUAUGAUUAAAUUCCACAUUACCUCUUGAACGUCGUGAUGACUCACAUUGCUUCAUUAAACAAAGUUUAUUGUCAAGUUCCUAAAUAAAUCUGUCAAAAUCGAUGAAGUGAGUCCUACAUGGCUCCUCUAAUUUUUUUCACGCAUGAGCCACAUCAGUGACUUUGACAAAAAGUGACUUGAUCAUGGAUUGUGGGGAAGGAUAAAGUGAAACACGAAACAUCUGCCAAUGGAACAAGACGAACAUUGACUUAUCUUAUGGAAUCUGUGAUGUUGCUUACACUUCUAACUUCGAUUAUUGCUCAACUUUUGCUCACAUUUCGAUCAAAAGACCUCCCGAAGCCGGUCCACGGUUGAGAACUUGUCUUACUGGACUGGACCAACGUUCCUUUCAACAACCCAAUUUUCAUAUAUAUAUAUAUAUAUAUAUAUAUAUAUCUAUAAGUUCUAUAAUAUCUAACCCCACAUUAAAACAAAAGCAUCACAUAUAAAAUACAAAUUAAUUAAUUAAUUAGUGAUUGAUGGCUCAGCUUUUUGCUUGUGUAAGCAUCUUUCUCUUAGUUUGUGGAUCGGCCAAUGCUCAAGCAACCCAGUUCUGUGCUUAUGCCUGGAAUGAAUUCAGCAAUUGCCUGAGGUUUGUUACAGGCUUAUAUUCUGACCCCUCAGCCCAGUGUUGUGAGUCGAUGAGGACAUUGAACAUGAAGGCCAAAAGUGGUGGGGUAGCUCCUCGGAAUAUAUGUCAGUGCAUUGAGGACAUGGCUUCUGUAUAUGGAAUUCCUUUUGUAGCCUCCAUUAUCCAAGAUCUUCCCAUGAAAUGCAAUGAGCAUCUUAGUUUUCCUAUUUCUAAUAGCAUGAAUUGCACCCAGUAACUCUCUCUCUCUCUCUCUAGCCCUUGUCAAUUAUGUGGGUAUUGGUAUGGUUAAUUAUGUUGGGUUCCAUAUUAAAAUUCGUUAUCAAGUAUUCUCGAAAUAGGAAAUGGGAUUAACUAGAAUGGAGUAGUUGAUCCAAUUCCAAUUUCUUGAUUGGCUUUUCCGACUCCUGUAAAUAAAUACUCUACCAAAAAAACAAUAUUAAUUUGGUCACCAACAUCCGUACAUGAUGAGUGGCUAAAGGCACUAUUGCUGGUGCAUAAUAGUACAAUGUGGUUGUUAGCUAUUAUUGUUUUCUUGUAGUGAUCGGUAUAAUUAAUUAAGUAAAUUUAGGUUUUACUCAUAAAAAAACUUUCACUUUUGGAAAAAGCCAAAGCUUUUUGAAAAAAGACGGAAUAACCUCUCAACUUUCAAACCAAAGACAUGCAAAUGUAAAGGAUUUCUUAGGAAAUCAAAAAAUAAAUAAGGGCAAUUUUGUCCAUUUUUGCUUCUUUUAAAAAUUUUCUCUCUCCUUUGGGCUUUUCCAAAAUCUCAUCUAACACGAUCUCAUAAAUAAUUAGUAAGGUAACCAGUAUAAGCAGCCACUGGUUGAUCUCUUCAUAUACUAGUAGGAAAUUGAAAAUAAAUAAAUAAUGUAAAACAAUGUUCUUGCUACACUAGGCAUUAGUUAAUGUGUACUUCUCUUGACGUCCUAAAUUUGCGAGAAAUAUUUAUAGAACAUAUAUAUGUAUAUGCCUCUCGUAAAGUCAAUGGUGCUGCUCACCGGAUUGCCCAAUUUAGUCUUCGUGAAAGAAGCUCUGGCUCAAUGUAUUUAGCAUAUAUGGUACUCUUUUCUGUCUCAAAAUUUUAUUCCGCAUAGCUCUUUCUCUGAAGAUUUUAAUGAGGUUACAUGCCGACUCUAUUGUAUUUGGAAUUUGUUUCCAAUGAAGUCAUCAGGACAGAGUAAUGAUGCAUGACAUUAUUUCCGCCUACUCCUUACAAGGGUUUGAAUUGAGAAUUAUCAUGUGUCCUCUGCCGAUCAGUAUUGCGCUUUGCAACGCACACAUGUCUAACAUGUGAUUGGCCCACAUGUCUAACAACGGGAAAUAAAACAUUUUCUGCGUUUCAAUUCAAUGUUUUCUUAUUUGCCAAAGAAAAAAAAAUUCAAUGUUUUGUUAAUUUUCUACAUCCACGUGGAUGCUUAAAAAGAGAGUGAAUUCAGAGUCGCUCUGGGCGACUCGGAAUAGCUUUGCUCCUUGACCACAAUAGUCAUUUGAAGUAAUUACUUUUACAAGGUACAUUUCAAAACACAAGAUCUCUCUCUCUCUCUCUCUCUCUCUCUCUCUCUCUCCCCGACUGACACGUGGCAACUAAAGAGAGAUACAUCUCACUGCACAAUCAUGUCGAACUCAACCCUUUCGAAGAAGUAAAGAGCUGACUAUUUACUUGCCACCAUAACAAAGAGAAAGCACGCUGAGCAUUGUACUGUCGAGAGGUCGAGAGGUCGAGAGGUCCUUCCAAUACUCAAGAUACCUUCGUACACAUGAGCCACAUUUCCAAUACUCAAUAUACCUUUGUACUGUCAGUCGAGAGGUCCUUCCGAAGCCAGAAGUUAACAAGAAACGAGUCAAUAAUAAUCUGCAUCAGUAAAAUUAUUUGUCAGUUAAAGAAAAUUUAAGAAGAUACGGAUGAAUGGACGUAAGAAGAACCUGAUUUAAGUGUGCUGCAACACAAGGAACAACAAGCAAACCAGAUUCACCCAGUGCACCACCAAGUUGCUCCACUACAGCCACCAUUACAGGCAGAGUUUUCUGUGAAAAGCAUGCCCAGGCAUCAACAAUCAUUGAUUGCAUUAAAGAAAAAAACUACUGAUUUUUUUAAGCAGUUGCUCCUUACAAAGUCAAAAGUCGACAGGUAUCCUAAACAAAAUAGUCACUUAGGCCUACAAGAGAUCUAAGUCACAACUUCACCAAGGAUGGGGAGUUCAAGAGUUGGAGAGCAAACAUAUUUCAAUACUGGCUAGAGAAAGUAAAAGUUUGAAAAGAAUGAGAAUUUUUUAGUUGAAGGUAUGCAUAUCUCUCACCUGGCUCGCAACAAGGAGAACAGCAUUGGCAUUUUCUUUCUUGGAAAACACUGAUCGACUGCCACCAGAGACAGCUGAGAUGCUCUUUAGAGCAAGAGCAUUAAAGGCUAACAAGAUGAGGUGCAGAAGUCUGCAAUAAAAGAAGAGAGAUCUUUUCAGUAGGCCAAUGCAUUUGAGCCCAUCAAGUUUCUAAGACACCUAUCUUGUGUGCAAUCCAAAUACAUCACAUAUCGUUUCCUUUUAAGUGUGGUUCAUUAGAACAUCUUCAGCCAAAGAAUGUCAAGCAAAUCUACUCAUUUGAGGGCACUAAGGGUUUAAAAGAUACUGGAUACAAGUCCAAUAAAGAAGACCCAGAGUAACAAUUUGGAUUCAAUAAUUUUGAGAAGAAACAAACCUUUGAUAAUGCUAACAAAAAUUACAGUACCAGUGGACAAGGUGUGCAGUCUAAGAACGUACAAAAAACAAAAGGAAGAAAAAGAACAGACAUAGAACUAGUGUAUCAAAAAUAGAAUAAUAUUGAACCCAAGAAGCCCCCCAAGCACUUCUACAAUUUGGCUUCGAUAUCAAUUCUACUGGAAUAUAUUCUCAAGCAAUAUUUGUUGUAGGUAAAGUAUUAUUGCUUCCAAAUUGAAACAUGUGAACAAAAAUAUAAACUGAAAAUUCAACGUGUGAAAUAGCUCCAUUCAAUGAGAAUGAAAGUAGAAAUGAGGUCACCGAUUGUGAUGGACUUUAAGCUAGGUGGGCAAGGUGUGCAGUCUAAGAACGUACAAAAAACAAAAGGAAGAAAAAGAACAGACAUAGAACUAGUGUAUCAAAAAUAGAAUAAUAUUGAACCCAAGAAGCCCCCCAAGCACUUCUACAAUUUGGCUUCGAUAUCAAUUCUACUGGAAUAUAUUCUCAAGCAAUAUUUGUUGUAGGUAAAGUAUUAUUGCUUCCAAAUUGAAACAUGUGAACAAAAAUAUAAACUGAAACUUCAACGUGUGAAAUAGCUCCAUUCAAUGAGAAUGAAAGUAGAAAUGAGGUCACCGAUUGUGAUGGACUUUAAGCUAGGUGGGCAAGAUUGGUCUAGUCAAAUCUACGCCAUGUAGCAUGUAGGUUUGCAUAAGCAUGCCCUAUCCCCUCGGGUUAGUAGGGGCCCCCAUACACUAUGAGUGGGAAAAAAAAAUUGUAGAAAUGAUGUCUUACACCCUACAGACUAGUUAAUGUUUGAGAAAGCAUCAUACAUGUCCCUAAAGAUUCAGCACCAAGUUUAGAUAUUUUCAAAGUUUCUGAAGGAGGAUUUCUUGCCUAAAACAUUCUGCAUGAAAAGAACUAGACUGGCUGGAAGUUCCUAGAAAUAAACUUAAAAAGCAAAGACAAAAAUAAUUCAAAUUUGUACUAUUGCAUUAAAGCAUUAAACUAGUGAGAACAAGAAGAAAUUUUUUUUGAAAAUUAGGGUGAAGAUCAUACACUCCCAUUCCAAUAGCCACAAGAAAAACUGGAGGCUUAACCAUCAACAGCAGUGACCUCGACCUACUAACUUGUAUCCAUGGCACCUGAAUAACCAUCAGAUGUUUAAAAGUUUACAACAUCUGCAAUUUAAAACUUAAGAGAAACAAAGAUGUCCUACAAGAACCAAAGACAACACACAUUUCCCAAAAUAAUUUAAGUUUCAGCUAGGAUCUGUACAUUUUAGUAUUUGAACUGGCUUGGGGCAACAUGUUAACUUCCACAUUCUGAAGAAAUGAGAACAUUGUGACACAAGAAUUUAACAAUUUUUUUCCAUUUAAACAAAAUGAUCGUAUCACCAGAACAUCAUAAAUAAAUUAAUGAAACAUGAGAAUGAACUACAUAUCAAAUCAGCAAUGAAUAAACAGAAUGCAGUAUAAUAGACUUUGAAAACAUAACCACCACCAGAACAUUUUUCUUUUUUGACAAGUAAAUUUCAUUCCCAAAAAUCAAGAAUUACAACACCAAAACUCAGUACAAAAUAGACCAUAACAGCAACCAAACAUAUACAAUUACAGUCUCAGGUUGUUCAAAAACUUCAUAAAAAAAUGAAAAGGUUCCCCGUUUUCUUUAAGGACUGGAUGCACAAAAUCGAAUGCUUGAGGACCCCAAUUGGGGCCUACACAUCCUUUAAGCAUCUGUUGCUUUCUUUCCAUAUGCAUCCACAAUGAAGCAAUCAGCCAACACUCAUGAAAGCCCUGCUAACUCUAAACCCCUCAAAGCCCAUAACAAAUCCACUACUUGACAUGUAUCCCAGUUAUGCAGAUAUUUGAGAAAGGGAAUGUCCCAAACCAAAUCCUUGCCAAAAAGACUGAAACUCAAAAAUCACGGCAAAUUUGCUUUUAUGCAAUAUUGUAAAGUAUACGGGGAAGACAUCUGCCAUGGAUGAUCCCCGCACCAGACAUCUGACAAAAGGCGAACCAGGCCACCAUCCCCCCACCUUAGACCUAAUGAGUUUGUAAACUCUGUAAGAAGCAUCCAAACCUUUCCCGAUACCUUCUCAACACCUAUCCUAAAACAUUUGCACAUUGUGCAUCUUUGCUAGGUACCAUCCCCUGACCCAACAACAAAUAAGUGGGAAAGCAUAAGUCUGAUCUAAGCUCUUCUUUAUUUGAGUUUUUUUUAUGCCAAAUACCAGAAGAUCCCAGUUUCCUUAAAAUGGACUAAUACUUAAACUUUCAGAAGACCCGGGAGGGAGAAACAUUACUCUGCAAGAAUGAUAAUUAUAUAAAACACAAAUUUCAUUGAAACCAGAAGAAUAGUGCCCAAGAAUACGUCAACUGAUAAACCACAAUAUUGCACCAAUGGGCUACAUAUCAAAACAACCUACACAGUCAUAAAUGCCUUGUACAUAAACUAACAAAUAUCAUGGUGAAGAGGAAAGUAAAAUAGUACGACAGAAUAACCAAAAUUAAAAAGUAAAUAGAAAAAUAUAAACCAGGAUAUUGGUCUUACUAAACUGAGGAAGACUGCACUGAUCUUAGAAAAAAGCUUACGGUUUUGAUCAACAAAGUCUGCAACACCUGUAAUGGACAUUUAAUGAGGACUGACUAACAAAAGAUAAAGUGUUCAGACAUUAGAAAAUUGACUAAAAAUUAAAGUUCUUAAAGUUUAGCAUGGAUGUCAGAAUUCAUCCUGUUAGUUUAAUCAAAUUAUGGUUUCUAUACCAGAUCAAGCCUAAAAUAGAGGUUAUUCCAACCCAACAUCAUUCUACAUUCAUAUGUGGGUUAGCUUUGUAACUAUUUCAAUCAGAAGAACCUAUAGUCUCAAGAGUGUUUCUGGUAUGUUCAAGGCUAAGCUUUGAAGGUGAGAGAACCAUUAAAAAUUUCUAAUGGGUGUGGACAGAUAUCCCUCAUUCCAAUGCUGAAAAUUCCUGUCCAUUUCACCAGUGGAUGAAGGCCUUAGGCUUGACAAUGUAAAAUGGUAAGUUUCUCACUGAUUCUUAACCUAUUGCAAAGUGUGCAAGUUUUUUAUACAAUCAUAUCAAGAUUUUGAAAUUUUAAGAAAUGUGUAGUGAAUCACGAGUAGGACUGUAGUUUCUCAAGAAUAGGAUAAGGAACAGUAGUUUGUGAUUUAGGAAGUGGAAGUUUGGGAGUUUUAAAAUUGUAACGUUUGGUUACGUUUUUGGAGAAUGUUUCUGAGUAUAUUUUCUGAAAAUGAAAAUGAGAAAAUGAAUUUGCAUUUUCAGGAUUCAAAAAUGUGUCUGGGAGAUUAAUUGGAAAACAGAUUCGGAAAAUAAAAAUAGUGAAAACAUGUCUGGUAGGGCAAUUUGAGAAUAAUAAUAUGUGAGUUAUUUUUCAAGUAUAUUUUUGCUAAUUUUUGUUCUAAAAAAAAAAAAUUUAAUACAGGCUAAAAGUAUUAUAAACGAUGAAAAAUGUAUAAUUUGAGAAUAAUAAUGUAUAAUUAAAAUAAAAUAAAAUUUCUAAUGUUAGAAAAACCUAGAUAAUAAAAUUCAAUUAUCGUUAGUUUAAAAUAAAUAUGAAAUUGAAUAUUAUAUGAUGGUUUUAUCAUAAAAUUAAUAUACACUGGUGUAACAAAAUAAAAUAAUGAAGUGCAACGAAAAAAAUGAAAACUGAAAAAUGAAAAGCAAUCAGACCAAUACACUGGGUAGAAAAUGAAAACAAUAAUUUGGUUUUUCAGUUUUUGUACAUGAGUUUGAAUUUGUUUUUAGAAAACGAAUUCCAGUGAAAAUGAAAAUGACAUACCAAACGCAGUUUUGGUAGAAAAUGAAAACGGGGCCUUGAAAGCAUCACUGAACGGCCCCUAAAAGACUUUCCGGUACUCUUACAUUUAGAAAUUAUUGAUAUUGUUGUCCAUCUGAAAAACUCAGAGGCCAAUCGUGCAAUCUCCAUUCUAGAAUAGUAUGUUAAGCAUAAAGUUAAUAUCAGGGUGCGAUGUCACUAUUUCACAUCAAUCGUUUUGUGUGUGAGGCCACACAUGCACAUGCAUUUGAUGUUUAUAUACAAUGAUUGUACUUGUGUACGUAUGCAUAGUGUACGUAUGUCUGUGUAUCUAUAAGAAAUUAUGUAGAAUGAGACUGAUAGCCUGAACUGUAUUGUGCCUCAUUCUUAGUACUCAGUAAACAAAUACCAUUCAGGUCCUAAAAUUCAUAUGAAGUUAUUGGCUGCCACAAAAACAGUCCAGAACAUUAGACAACACCCGAAACAGAAAGAAGAUAAUGAAAUACUCACCUCUGAAGGAUUCUCGAAAAAUCUGUUCAAGGAAAGGACAAGUAACUAUGAAAACGAUAAAACACCAAAGAGAGUAUAUAAUGUAUCUUUUCAAGAGGCAAACUAAACGAUUUCUAUAAAAAGGUAAGAAAAAGGGAAUAUUGAAAAACACAUCUAUGCUUACUUCAGUAAAUAGUUGAUAAAUCAUAAAGUCAGUUUUGUUAGAAAGGAAUUGAUUACCUUCCCCAAGAUUAGGGGGAUCAACAAUGUUAGAACAAGACUUUUGAACAGUUGCUUAGUUGGAACAGAUACACCAACUCCACCAGCUAUGUAUUUUGAUAUAGAAAAUGGGACCUAUAAGGGGGAUAUGGUGUUAGCGUAUGCUUAAUGAGAUCAACUAGAGAACUAAAUCAGUUGCUGUAAGCCUUACAGAGCAAAUGCUGUUUUAUCAAUCCGAUUCUAUAUAAAUAAGUGAAUGCAAACAAAAAUUGAGAACACUUGGGACUAGAAAACUCACAAUCAAAAUUCCUAAAAGGUUACUGAUCACAGUAAUGGCAAGAGCAAGAGCAGAAUUGGCCCCCGCAAGCUGCAUUUGAAGAACACAAACCUUUAGCCAAGCCCAAAACCUAGUACAUACUGCUAAACAAUAGCAGGAAAAUGAAAAUGUUCAACUAAGAUCAAAGACAAAGGAAUUAGCAACCUGAGCAAGUGCCACUCCACUUGAUAGUGUAGUUGGCAUACAACAAAAUAUUGCAAGCCCUACAACAAUCAAGAAACUACUUUCAAUUAAGAUUCAGGAAUAACAGAUGAAUGAUUCACCAUGAUUCUGCAAAUUCCAAGCUAACUUACACAACAAAAUUAAGUAUUUGCAAUCAAGCAACGACAAACGACCAAAAAAAAUCUGCAGAGUUUGAGCUUAGCUGUUUUGCUAAAACGAGCAACCCUAAACGCUAUACCCAUACUCAAGCACCUAAAUACCAUACUCAACCCUAAAAAGUUUUUGUCAUUGCUUUGUCCAAUGGCCAUAGUUAGUGAUACUAAGUCACCUACGAUCAGAUUCUUGUCAUAAAUUUCUAUCGCAUGGAAAAUAUCAAUUUAAAAGAAGGAUAAUUCUCCAAUUUUCAUAGCCAGAUAGGAUCUCUCACAAAAAAUUAAGCUCUUUGUCAUUGAAGCAAGCUAUAAACCGCAUAUGCUUAGGGGUGAUUGAGCUAAUUUAGUUGAUUUGAUUGAGCUCAUUUGGAUGACUUCUAGGGCUAUACAGGAAUUUUUCAUUGAAUUCAAAUUUAUUUGUUUAUGGUAUAUAAGGCAAUGUAAACUUUUUUAGAAGAAACCACAAUUUCAUUACGAACUUUCAUACACAACAGGCCUGAAACUUCACAGUAAUUUCAUUCAGAAUUUCUCGAAUAUUUAAAUAACAGAAUUGCCCUCUCAACCAACACUACAGGUGAAAAUAAAUUCAAUUGCCAAACCUCUAACAAACUCUGGAGGUUGGAGCUGCAGUUGCAAUAUUAUCCUCGAAAAAUAUGGAGUAAAUAAUAGAAUGGAGACCUGAACCAUGGAGAGGAUUAGCAAUAUGUAACAGAUCUAGCUAGCAUUAAUGAAAUGUCAAUGCAAGUGGUAUCCAUAAGCCUCAAUUUAAAAAUGGCCUAGGGAUUAAUUAUAUAAUAACAUAUUCAGAAGCAAUGGAAAAUCAAUGCAAUCCACAAAUCUCAGUUUAAAGUAGAUAAAGUAUCAGUUAGGAAAAAGAAAAAAUCAAGUAACACAUCUUAAAGAAACAAAAUGAAGAUAAACGAGCUCUCAGUUAUGAGAUACUGCCCCAACAUUUUUCACCAAUCUACAGAUAUUAAGGCAUAUAAGACUGUAGCUUGUUAUAAGAAACAACAGAGAUUCAAUCAUCGUGCCAGUCAGCAGGCAACUUGAAAUCGGAGAGGUCAAUGGAGACAAGGCAUUAUAUUAGUUCAUCCAAAGUCAUAUUUUUCAGUCACAAUGCUAAACACAUGAGAUAUACACAAUACAUAAAUGAUAAAGCAUAGCAUAAGUUUAAACCACUGGAUGCAAUAACGUUUUAAUAAAAGAUUACAUCAGUUUCUCUAUUUUUCCCAAACAUCUAAAGGAACAAAAGCAUGUCCUUAAAACAUUUUCAAAUACAGUUAUACUUGAUAAGAAAGAAGUUUUUAAAAGCAACAUAUAAAAUACAGAAAUAGAGACAUUGAUCCACUCAAUACUAUGAAAUGGAUGCCCUAUAAAGACAUGUACCAAAUCUGUCUUUCAUGUCUGAGUCUAGUAAGUAUAGAGUUAUCAACAAUAACAUCUAUUCAAACGCAGGCCCUCUAUGCAUUGCAUACUAGUGUGAGAUAUGUAUGUGUAUGCGCGUGCAGCUGCGUGUCCAUGUGCGUGCUCGUGAGCGUGUACCCAAGAACAUGCAAAAGAGAAGGACAUGAGACAUUGAGGUCAUACUAGCCCGAAGAUUCCGGCAGGCCAUGCUUGUGCAGCUGCAACAAUUUCUCCAGUGUGCAAGGUCAACCCUAUAGAAUCACAUUGAACAAAUUAGGCCCAUUAUUAGCAUAAACUAAAGAAAAAUCAAACAGAUUGGAACCAGAGAAAUGCAGAAUUCUAACCUGAGAUGAUAAAAAUCCCAAACGUGCUAAAUUUUGACAAAGAAUACGUAUCAGCCAGACAACCUAGACUAGGAUUUGCCAUCCCUAAAGCUACUCCACCAACAAGAGCUGCAUAUAAUAUUGCAGACAUUUAUCAAUAAACAAUACUAAACAAAACGAGGAAUGUGAUUAAUUAUGAUAACACUGUGAAAACACAAAACUUUCAACAAAACAUAGAAGUCACCUAAGGGAAGAAAAUUAUUCGCCACGAAAUGCGACAAUGGUUUAGCCCAACUCAAGCCCUUCACUGAACCAGAAUCGUUAUGAGCUUUCUUUCCAUCACCAUCUAUCUGAAAAAACAUUCACAUUUCUUUAAAUGAUUAAACAGAACAUAUAAUUUUGAGAUUUAUCAUUUGGGUACCUAAAUCCUAAACCAAAUUAUCAAAAAUUUCCUUCAGAAAUUUAAAUUACACUAUAACCAUGUCCAAACACCAAGACAGCAAAAUUAGAAUCAUUAUUGGUGAGUUACCAAACAGCGCACAAACAAGUAAACAGAACCUGAUCGGACUGUUGGCAAGCUUUGACGGGUUUCGAAAUGGAGCGGCUAAGUUGAAAAUUGAAACGGAAUGCCGCAUGUUUGGACGGAAAAUGUGGGAUUCGGUGAGCAAACGGCAACAAUUUGGCGGGUCGAGGUGUGAGAAUUAGGGCAUGGAUGGUUCCCGCCAUGGGAAUUACUGCAAAAGUCAAAACGUGUCACUCUCUUUUUUCUUUUCUUUUUCCUUUUUGUUAUCAGAAGGAAAAAUGGGUGAAUUAAGAAAGAGGAAUGCUACUCUUCAAAUAGUCUAUAUUUUUGGGUAAUAAAAAUUAAAUUAAUAUAUGUUGGGCUCAUAGUAUUUUUUCUCAUUCAACAAAGUAGUUUUUAAGGGUUUUUUUUCUUUUUUUUUGGGUAAUGGGGGAGUUAGUUGUUUGGAUGGAAGAUGGUCAUGUUUGGUUGUCUUUUAUUUUUUUUUAAUCAAAAUAAAUUUCAUUAGAUAAACUUUAAUAGCACAAUUAAAGACAUCAAUAUGACAUAUAAAGUACCAAGAAAGCAACAAACUAACAUGAGAAAAAACAAAAUUAGAGCCGAAAAAAGCCGCAUUAAAACUAACCCACUUCACUACAAUAAUUAACCAUAAGUCCAAACAAAGCUCGCAAACCCAAUAUGACCUAAACCCUAAACCAACCCAUGAGCCUAAUUGAACCCUCCCACCACCAUCUGAAGAACUGCAAUCGUGGCCACACCUACCACUGCAUUCGUAACAUAUCUGGGAAAAAUAUGAUUCCCAGCGCAUCUACCUGCAAAUAAUAGCCAACAAAUAACGAAAACAAGAACUCUACCAAAGAACAAUUGAGUGAUUUGUAGCAACCUUCGUUAAAGACGAUGUAGAACAAAAAGAGAACAUGAGCAGUCUUAGAGAGCGAGUUUUGGGAGAAAGAUUUGAUUGAGAAUAUAGACUAAAAUGAGUGAUGGGGAACUUCAAUCUGAGCAUGACCCAGAAGAAAUCACCACAAAAGGGGCUUCUUAUUCAAAACGUCUCGGUGAAUUAUUCACUAACCCAAAAGGAAAGGACGAGAAGAGAGGAGGGAGAGGAGAGGCAGUGAAAACUUCUUUCUCCUCCCCCCCUCUAUGGAGUUUUUCCUUUGGGACUCACAAAGGGAGAAAGCGGCUAGGGUUUUAGAGGGAGUAAGUCUUUGGUUGUCUUCUAUUUAAAUGAUGAUGAAUACAAUUUAUGAGCUUCUUAUCAAAAACAACAAAGAAAGUAGUUUUUAAUUGGAAAUUUUUUUUGGGUCAUGGGGCGGAUCAAGGAACCCGUUUCCAAACAAAGGCAAGGAUGAGGAAUCCUUGAUUUGAAUAUUACGGGUAUGAAGGCGGGGAUUUGAGAAAAAUGCUUAACGGGGAUGGGAUGUGAAUGACAUACCCACCCUUGAUUGGACCCAUUGUCAUCCAUAUCUUCAUGCUCUUGUAGAAGAAAGCUUACUUUAAAAAGACAGAGAGCUCAAAAAACACUUUAUUUUUUAUAUGAGUGAUACUUUAAAUUAUUUUAAAUUAAUCUAAUUUAUGAAAAAUUCGAACUUGAGUUGACUAUCCCAAAAAGCAACAAGAGUUCCCAUCCAUCAAUUUUAUUUUUUCUUAGCAAUAACACCCAUCAAAUUAUCAAAAUUAAAAUAAAAAAUUUACCUAGUUCUAUCACAAAGCAAAGCAAAAUAAAUUUACCAUAAAGGGAUUGCUAUAGGGACAUUUUUCCUUUGUUUUGGUCAAAAGCAUGUUUCAUUUAGUCCCUAUAAGAUUCAUAAUGUUAAAUAAGGACAUAUUUUGUAGUUGUGGGACGAUAAUGUCCUUAUUUAUUUAUUUUUAUAUUGCCUUGGAAGUCUACCUUUGCUUUUCAUAUGGUGACACAGAAAUUUUCCUUUCGCUUAGUAUAGUUACAUGGCUCAACUUUCUUUUGUAAAGUACCACGUAGAUGAUCCCUUCAUGCGCAAGAAAAAUUUCCUGAGGGCCUUUCCGACGACACACUUGUUUAAAAUAAUCUUUAAGAACAAUGGCGGACUCAGGAAUUUUAAUAGGAUUGGGCUAUUUUUUUAUUUUUUUAUUUUUUUUUACAGGAGAUAUAUUAUAAGCCUUUUUUUUCUUCAUGAAACAAAAAUGUGAAUAAAAUUUUAUAAAUCAAACAAGGCCACAAUACGAGCAAAUAUAACACAAAGAAGUACAAAAUAUAAAUAAAUACCACAUCAAACACAUUGUUCAACUACUUGAGAUCCGAGUUGAGAAAGUUCCUCAGGAAUUGAAGUAUCAACAUUAUGUAGAAGGUGUAUGUGUAUCUUUGUUAUCGUUACCCUUUUUUUUGAAGAAUAGUUUUUCCUCUCUUUGUUGGUCUCUUAUCAUCAUGUGAUAUGAUAUCCUAACAAGAAAUACUAUACACGAAAAAUCAUAUAUACUAAUUAAUAAUUUAAGUUGCAAAAAUAAAACAUAUAUAACAAUCCCCAAAAGUUUUCACCCGAACCCUAAAUCAUAAAAACUUAACAACAACAAUUAAAAUUGGAAAUUGAGUGUAAAAAAAAAAUAUAUAUAAAAACUUACCAAGAUUGAUGAACCCACUGAAGAUAGGUUGGUACAAUAUUUUAGAGGGGGUGAGUUAUUUAUUCUAGGCUCUGAAGGUUCAAAUAUGGCGUUUUGGGUGGCUAGAAGAAAAUUUCUAAUGUUUGCUUCUAAUCAAAUUUAUAUAGGUUAUGGAUUGCAUGUUUAAUAUUUCAUAUAUGCUUCAAGAGUGGGCUUAUUUUAAAUAGAUGGCUGGACUAUUAUUUACUUUAGCUAUAUUUAGUUUAAACCACUAAAACUACACACACACACACACAAAAUUUAAAUAUUAAAAAAUAAAAAAAUAAAAAAUUCAGCAUUGGGCCGGAGCCCACUCUAGCCUAAAUGUAAAUCCGCCCUUGUUUAAGACAAAACUUAUAUUCCUAUAGUAAAAGGACAACUAUGUCUAACCGUGAUUAAUUAUAAUCAUAAAUAAAAUUAUCUCUUCCGACAAACAAGAAAUAUCCUCGAAAAUACUUCAAUCACUUCUAACGACGCAAUAACGUUGUCGGAAACAUAAACUUAUUACCCACAGAAGAACUAAUACUCCUUAGAAAUACAUAAAACACUUCCGGGAAUGUCCAAUAGUCAUUGUAAAUUUUAUUAUCAAGAAAGACUAUAUCCUUCAUAAAUACUCUUGUUUAUACCGAAAUAAACGGCCUAUGAUCACCGAACAUGUGGACGGGAUCGAUACUGAUCACAGAACCCCUUCGGCAUGCUUCCUACCGAAGCCAUCUAUCUUGGCCAUUUUUACCAUCGGACACGUGUCAUGCUCACAAUCCAUGUCCAGAGUCCUACAUCGGAAAUAUGAGCACAGUGCACACCUCUCAAGGCCUAUAUAAGAAACCCAUAUCCCCAAAAGGAAGGGAUCAGAACUAACGAUACGCUAUCGAUUGAUCUGUCAGUUAACUUUACUAAAACCGUACUUACUAAAGCAUCGGAGAGCCUUCGGCCGGUACCACACCGGUACCCCAAGGACUUACCGAACGUGUCCUUUUGUAGGUACUUACCCUUCCGAAGUAGAACAUCUACCGAAGACAGUCACCUACCGAAGGCAUAAUAUAACUAAGUUGACGAAAUACGUGCUGAACCACUUUUUCGCAUCAACAGUUUGGCGCCGUCUGUGGGAAUCCAGAAAAAUCAUCAACCUACUAUCCCCAAAACACAUGGGGACCACUUCAGUACCCACGUUCUUAUCGGAAGGCAGAGCGGAGCUAGCCCAGCGCUACCCCCAGGCACUCCCUUCAGAAACGCCCCCGCAACCCAAACAACCGCCGAAGCCGAGCUGCUAGUCCAAAUCGCGUCCCUACGGAAGGACAUGGCAAGGCUUCAGGAACACAACAACCUUCUUUCGUCCAAAGUGGACGAAACCCAGCAGCUGCUCCACCAGCAGCACACGCAGAACAUCCAGACAACCUACUCUUCCGAGAGCUUGUAGACCCCCCAUAGGAAGAAGAAACACGAGAAGGCAGCGAAGGCAACGCCCGCACCUUUCAGAGAGUUGGUAGUUCCGGCACCCAGGGAUCAGCCGCACAUCCCCAAGAAAGUCUACUCUAAUUGCCGAUAUCGAAUUAACGACCGGGAACAUCGGAUCAACGACCGGGAACAUCGGAUUAACGAUCGGGAGGCAGAGAGACAGAGGUCUCCGAUCAGGAUUAGCACUCGAAUAAGGGACUCACGGAUGAAAAUCCUAGGAAACAAGUCGCCUAUUCGGAAGGUCAGAGGGCUGGACUCCGCAGAGUCGUCGGAAUCCGAGUAUAUCCCUUCCAGGACGCAAACUUCCACCUACCGUUCGGCAACGCCUUCACGGUACUCGGGGGUUAACUCAUCAAGCCUCCAAAGACAAUCGGAAGAUUAUGGUUCCGAGGAAAUCCCUAGCCGAGAUCCCGUUGUCCGACUCUUUUUUCAGAAAGUCCAGAAAAUGGAAAACGACAACGCUCGCUCCCAAGAACCGGAAUGGGGGAAGCUUCGGCCCAGACCAUUCACCAGGCGCAUCCGGGACUCUCGGCAGGAUAGAGAAGGGCAGCAACUGCGUAUACCGUUCUAUACGGGAACGGAAGACCCCUUAACACACCUCCACUCAUUUCAGUCCUCCAUUGGAUGCAAGAGCCUGAGCGAUGAAGGGCAGUGCCUGCUAUUCCCGUCCUCCCUUACCGGGGCAGCCCUGAACUGGUUCUACCGGUUGGAGCCGGAAACGGUAGACUCCUUCGACGAACUGAAGCAGAUUUUCCUCAAUCACUUCAUGAUCCAAACGGACCGUCUUUACUCUGCUGAUGAUCUGUACACGAUUCGGCAAAGAGAGGACGAACCGUUGAGAGAAUACGCGGCACGCUUCAGUCAUAAGUACUCAAGGUGUCCGGAAACAGACGAUAGGGCAGCCUACGGCGCCUUCAAGAGUGGCCUUCGGUCCUCGCAUUUCCGAUACCUAGUACACAACAGCAACUGGCGCACGUACGACGAACUGACGAAGCAGGCGGCGAUCCACGCCAAAGCCGAAUACUUCAACUCGAAACCCGCGAUUUCGGCACCGCGAGGAGAUGUCGAACCAAGUGCUUAUCCGGCAAAGGCGCCACCCUACGAGAGAGUCGACCCAUAUUUGGCAGGUCAUAAGAGGAAAGACGACCGUGUCGAUCGAAGAGAACACUCGAAGAAGGGAAAAGGGAGGUAUGGUCGCAACGACCACCGAGCGCCGCUGCCGAAUCGUGACCACGGCAAUGAAGUCUUUACCCUAUUGAACACUACCUACGAGGCCGUCCUGAUGAACGAACAAGAAAUAAUACCAAAGCUGAAUCUUCGAAGACCCAAUCGGCAAGACAACCGGGAUACCGGUAAAUUCUGCCGAUACCAUCAGCACAACAGCCAUAAUACGGAAGACUGUAUAAGCUUGAGAAAAAUUAUCGAACGGUUGAUCAGAGAGGGGAAGUUAGACCAGUAUAUCGCCCGGCAGCCACCGGCGCCGGUACCGAACACAACUCGGCAGAUAAACAUGAUAAGCACUAUCAGCGGUGGCCCCACCAUCGCAGGAAUGAGCAACCGUUCAAUGAAGCAAUACGUGCGUGCCGCACAAUUUCCUCAAGUAUUCGGCAUAGAGGUGAAUCGGCACCAGGAAAUCCUGAAAGUUCGUUAGGAACCAAUCACAUUUUGUGAAGAGGAGGAAGAGGGCAUCCUCCAUCCCCACGACGACCCGAUGAUCGUCUGAGCAGAAAUUGCCGACUACGAUGUAGGACGGGUGCUGAUCGAUACCGGGAGCUCGGUGAACGUAAUUUUUGCCGAAGCUUUCCGAGAGAUGGGUAUAAAGGACAGCCAGGUCAACCAGCAGUUGACACCUUUGUUAAGUUUCUCUGGGGACCUGGUCCAACCGGUCGGUAGUGUAAAACUGCCAAUUACCUUCGGCACCGCGCCAAGGAAAACGACGGUAUACGAUCAGUUCCUCAUCGUUGACUGCCCGACAGCAUAUAACGUCAUAGUUGGACGAAUGGCACUCACCAGGGUCAAGGCACAUCUUUCCCCCUACAUGCUACUGAUGAAGUUCCCGACCCCCAACUGCACAGGGGCUGUCCGAGAAAACCAGUUAAGCGCGCGGACUUGCUACGCCACGGCCCUCAAGUCAACCUCUUUUAAAAUCCCCGACAAGACCAUGUCUGUACAGAGGAUACCGAACGGUACGGGACCAGUUGACGACCCAAGAAAUGAGUCCCCGACUCCUCACACACAACCUGCCGAAGAACUGGAGACGAUAACCCUGAGCGAAUAGCAGCCCGAUCGUCGGGUUAGAAUCGGCACCAGACUCACCCCUGCCCUCCGAACGCAGUUCAUAGACUUCUUACGGCAUCAUUCGGAAGUGUUCGCGUGGUCCUACGAAGAUAUGCCCGGCAUAGACCCUGAGAUCAUCAGCCAUAAACUCAGCAUUUCCCCCGCUUAUAAGCCUGUAAGACAGAAGCGCCGUUCGUAUGAUGCCGAACGAUACGAAGCCAUGCGCACAGAAGUUGACAAACUUCAAACCAUCGGCUUCAUCAGGGAGGCUAUGUAUCCGGUAUGGCUGGCAAAUUCGGUGAUGGUCCGGAAGGGUACAGGCGGGUGGCGAAUGUGCCAAGACUAUACCGACCUGAACAAGGCCUGCCCAAAUGACAGCUUUCCGUUGCCACGGAUAGACCAACUCGUGGACGCCACCGCCGGCCACGAACUGCUCAGUUUCAUGGACGCCUAUUCAGGAUACAACCAGAUUUUCAUGCACCCUUCCGACAGCGAACACACCGCCUUCAUAACGGACAGAGGGUUGUACUGUUACAAUGUCAUGUCGUUCGGCCUGAAGAACGCGGGGGCAACAUAUCAAAGGCUCGUUAACAGAAUUUUCGCCAAAUACAUCGGCAGCAUCAUGGAGGUUUACGUUGAAGACAUGUUAGUAAAAAGCAGAACUGCCGAAGAGCACCUGCACAAUUUGUCAAUCAUAUUCGGCAUACUAAAAGACUACCGGAUGAGGCUGAACCCGAUGAAAUGCGCCUUCGGUGUAUCUUCCGGGAAAUUCCUUGGAUUCAUGAUUAGUCACAGGGGUAUCGAAGCGAAUCCCGAAAAAAUAAAGGCCAUCAUUGACAUGGGGAGGCGGAAGACGACGAAGGACAUUCAAAGCCUUACCGGACGCGUGGCGGCCUUGACUCGCUUCAUAUCCAAGGCUACCGACAAAUGUGUACCGUUCUUUAAAGCCUUGAAAGGGGGCAAACGGAAUAUCAUAUGGACUGCCGAGUGUGAUAAAGCGUUUCAAUACUUAAAGGACUACAUGGGCAAAGCACCCCUUUUAUCAAAACCACUAUCUGGGGAGAUUCUCUACCUAUACCUUUCGGUAUCUAGCACUGCCGUCAGUUCGGUAUUGAUUCGAAAACCAGAGAAAGCAGAGUUACCGAUUUUCUAUGUCAGUAAGCCACUCCAGAGUGCUGAACUUCGGUAUCCCCCAUUAGAGCAGCUUGCACUAGCCUUUGUGGUCUCGGCACGAAGACUUCGGCCAUACUUUCAAGCGCACGGAAUCAAAGUCCAGACUAACCAACCGCUUCGGCAAGUGCUCCAAAAAUCAGAGACUUCUGGCCGAUUGAUCAAGUGGGCGAUCGAACUCAGAGAAUUCGAUAUACAAUUCAUGCCAAGGCCUGCUGAAAAGGGUCAAGCCAUUGCCGAUUUCAUCUCCGAGCUCACCCCAUCAACAGCACAGUUGACACCCGAGCUGGUAACCGAAAUCGGAAUGCCGAAGGAAGUAGACGCCGAACGCUUCGACGCCUCAACUCCGGUAUGGAUUCUGCACGUCGACGGCUCGGCAAACCAACAAGGGUGCAGAGCAGGCUUGGUACUGACAACACCGGAGGGACUCAAGAUCGAGUACGCCCUCCGAUUAAACUUCCGAACCUCCAACAAUGAAGCGGAAUAUGAGGCUCUCUUGGCCGGCCUUCGGUUAGCCAAGAGCAUGAAUGCAAAACAAAUCAGAAUUCACAGCGACUCCCAGCUCAUUAUGAACCAGGUAACGGCAGACUUCGCGGCCAGAGACGCCUCCAUGCACGCAUACCUUUCGUCUACCCAUCAACUGCUCCAAAGCUUCCGAGCCUACGAGAUCAGGCAGAUCCCCAGAAGUGAAAACAGCCAUGCCGAUGCAUUGGCACGGCUGGCUUCGGCAAUCAAUGAUAAAGUCGGAAGAAAGGUGCCGGUGGAGAUUCUUGCUCAACCGAGCACGGUAACCUCCGAAACAUGUACCGUACGGUACGAAGAUACAAAGAUGUCUCCUAUCUACUCGUACCUGACCAACGGCAACCUUACAGAAGACAAGGCUCAGGCCCGAAAGCUUAGGUACUGAUCGACAAGGUACACCGUCAUCAACGACGUCCUUUACAAACGUGGCUACACAACUCCAUAUCUCAAAUGCCUUACGGCAGAACGGGGUGACUACGUCCUUCGGGAAAUCCAUAAUGGUGUGUGCGGCGACCAUUCCGGGUCCCGGUCACUCGCCCACAAAACCUUUCGGCAGGGAUACUUUUGGCCGACCAUGCACCAGGACGCUAAUUCACUAGUGAAAAAGUGUGUUAAAUGCCAGCGCUUCGGUAACAUACAGCAUAUCCCUACCGAACCCCUUACACCAAUCGUAAGUCCUUGGCCCUUCGCACAAUGGGGACUAGACCUGAUCAGUCCGAUGCCGCAAGGUAAAGGCCAGGUAAAAUACGCAGUGGUUGCCGUCGACUACUUCACCAAAUGGGUAGAGGCCGAACCUCUGGCAACCAUAACGGCAGCAAGAGUGGAAGACUUCGUCUGGACUCACAUUUGUUGCCGGUUCAGUAUCCCGUAUGCAAUCAUUACCGACAACGGCAGGCAGUUCGAUUCGGAACUCUUCAGGCAAUUUUGCACCCGCCUGAAAAUCAACUUAUUUUUUGCAUCACCGGCCCAUCCCCAGUCAAACGGUCAAGUGGAAGCAAUAAACAACAUCAUCAAGAAACUACUGAAACGACAGCUGGACAAAGCCAAAGGAGCCUGGCCAGAAAAGCUUCCCGAAGCACUCUGGGCCAUUCGGACAUCUUACCGAACGUCCACGGGAGAGACCCCUUUCUCUUUGGCUUUCGGUUCGGAGGCCGUGGUGCCCGUGGAAAUCGACGAACCUUCCUAUCGAACGGAAACCUUCGUACCGAAGCCGAACGAAGAAGCACUUUCUCUAAGCCUCGAUCUUCUUGAAGAGCACCGGGCACAUGCCAACCUUCGGAAUGAAGCCUACAAGCAACGUGUCUCUCGGUACUACGACUCUAGGGUCAGACACCGCUCAUUCCGAAUCGGAGACUGGGUUAUGCGGAAGGUAUCCCUAGCAACCAAGGACGCCACGGAAGGGACUCUCGGACCUUCCUGGGAAGGACCCUAUGAGAUCAUCGGUAUCCUUUGAUCGGGAACCUACCGCCUAAGAGACUCCAACGGCAAGACCCUCGGUCAUCCUUGGAACAUGGAACAUCUCAAAUACUAUUUCAAGUAACCUAGCCUACGGCAGGACAAAGUUGUAACCUAGCCUACGGUAGGACAAAGUUGUAACCGAUUUGAAUGUAUUUGCCCUUCGGCAUAGAUUAAUAGAAAGCCUUCGGCACUAUUACUUCAGGACCUCCUUUUUAAUUGCUCUACUAGCCCACGGCAGCCAAUAGUGGCAAGUUAACGUUCUACUGCAUCUUUAUUAGCCUACGGCAAUAAAUGUUUUUCGAAAUUGUUACCUACAGAUUCCAUCGGAACUUAUCAAUUUCGAAGUGUCCCUUUAACGUUAUAAAUCCUAUACGGAGCCUUUCGGCGAUAGUACGAUCGGCAAUUGAAACAAACUCAGAUUGUUCAAACAGUAGAUAAAAACAUGCAUUUGAAUUAAAGAUGCCCUCAGCAUAAGUACACAAAACAAAAAUAAAACAGAAAACUAAUUCAACUAUUACAAGUAAACGGCAAGAGGCCCUCAGGCUUCGUCGCCGGCAGCAGCCUCGGCAGAUUCGGAGCCUUCGGCGGCGUCCUCCCCCUUAUACUCCACGAUCAUUUCCUCGAUUAUCCCUUCCGGUAGGGGGGAAGGUCGGCGAUGAAGUUCAGGUUCAGCUUUUGCCCAGGGUUGUACCGUUUGAAUCGGUACAACAGGUCCGCCAUCUCCGAGCCCACUUCCUUAUCCAGAAGGACAGUGAACUCUUCAGACGAGCUGUACCCUCGGAUAGCUGACCGAACGGCGGCCUCGAUUUCCGCAGCCUUGGCCCGCUCCGACUCCUCUAAGGCCACCUGCACCGCCUCUUUGGAAGCCUCGGCAUCCCUGGCUGUCGCCAGCGCCGCCUCCAGGAGACCCUUCAUCUCCUCCACCUUCUCCUCCGAAGCUAGAACCUGCCGUUCGGCAGACUCUUUCUCCUUCAGCAAGUGGGCAUGCUCUUGGAGCGCUUUGCCAGCCUCGGCAACCUUGGCCCUGCCGUCCUCGUACGCCUUCUUGGCGCGCUCGGCAGCAGCGAUGGCCCGCUUGACGCAGAGCCACAUGUGCAUGGACGCCUGCACAAAACAAAAAAAGUCAGAAGCGUGCCCCACUUACAAAAAUAAAAGGACGAAGGAAGAAAGAAAAUCUUACCGAGGCCUGAAGCCGGAAGGCGCGUCCAGCCUCCUCCCGAAGAAACUUCUUCGAUAGUUCGUCGAUCUUCGGCAGCUCCAUCUGAGAGCCGAGGAUCAUAUGGUUGACGAACUGGACCGUCUUCGCCGGGCAGGCAUUGGUGACAGCCUCGGAAGGACCGUCCUCGUCCUUCACCGCAAGGACGGCCCUCGGGACCUCCGACUGGCGAGGGCGCUUAGAGACUGACUCGGCCUCCAGAUCGACCGUCUCCGGCCGUUUGCCGGCAGCCUUGGAAGCAGCGGCUUCAGUACCCAUCCGCCUCGAUGCGGAGUCCUCAUCGCCGACUCGCCUUAGCAUAGGCUCGGCACCCAGCUGCCGCAUACGAUCGGCGAGAGUCUGAUCCUCAGGAUCCACCGCCGCCUGCCGAGCAGAAGCUUCCUCAGGCUGCCUCUUUUUCUUCUUGCCCUCCAGGCCCAUCAUUAGGCGCCUCCUGGAGGACUCGUUCAUCUUCUUGGCCUCGGCAGCCUUCCUGGCGUCCGUCACUGGUCAAAAAGCGUUUGGUCAGUCUACAAGCAAAAGCCAUACAGGAAAACAAAAAAGAGGAGAAUGAAUGAUAUACUUACUCUCGGCAGGGUUAACGAGGCCGGCUCUGAUGAGGUUGUCGGUGAAGAGGAAACGUGGGUAAACUCGCUCGGCAGCAGGUACUCUCAGCCUCACUCUGUCAAGCUGCUGGAUCUCACUCUGCUUGGGGCUCGGCUGCUUGAGUUUACCUGUUAGAAGAAGGAAAAUUAGUAAAAUAAAGCAGAGAGAAGAGAAGCCGGCCUAUCAAUCGGUAUCUCGGGAACCUACCGGCAAUCUGAAAUGUCGUGGGUACCGAGAAGCGGGGGGGUGUUCCCGAUGGCGAUUCCCAAUUGCCGGAGAGCAGCACCCGCCGAUUCCUCCACGACUUUUGAGAAGUCGGCACCGAGCUGAUAAAGUGCCCCCGCUCGGAAGCCUUCAGGCAGUUCGCCUGAACCCAGCUGCCGUGAUCGGCGCUCUUGGACUUGGUAAUGCUGUAUAAGUACGAGAACUGCUCGUAGGAAGGCUCCCCCUCCUCGGCAAUCCCGAACGCAGCAAUUACCCCCAUCAAGGCCACCCAGAAGUUGGGGUUGUACUGGCCGGGAGCAUACCCGAUCUGAGCGAGGAUCUUCUGCACGAUAGGUUGCAACGGCAACCGAACCCCUUGCAGAAGAACAUCGGUGAAGAAGGUCACCUCGCCGUUCGCUGGUUCGCUGAGGGACUCGACCGGGCUCGGUAUCCUCAUCUUCACCGAAUCAGGAAUGAGGUACUUGGCCCUAAUCCUCUCCAGCUCUCGUUCGGUGAUCUUGUUGGGCUCUAGGUAGUCGACCCUGAACAGAGUCUUCUGGGGCACACCCACCGGUAUCCUAGGUUGCUCCCGGUGGAUGACCGUCACCCUCGGCCAAGAGGGACCGGCAAUGCCCUCACCGCGACCGGAGGUGGAGGCCUCAGGCUGAUGCUUUAACAGGCCGACGCGGGUACCGUCCUUGUACACCGCGGCCAAGGGUAGCGGUUGCCCCGUCAUCAGCCCCUUGCCGAUGCCAUGGGAGGGAAUAGAGCUCACCUCCUCACCGAAUAACUCAACAUCGGUGUCUUCUCCACCCUCGGCGUCGAGGCUCACAGCCCCGCUGGACGUAUCCCAUCCCGAUGACAACUCCCCAUCAACGGCGAUUCGCUAUCGGACAUCUACAAAACAAAGAAAGGGAAGCUAAGGCCCGUGCCACAAACUACCCUACAUCGCUACCUAUGGCCACUAGACUACCGAAGAAAAAUCCUACCUAACGUUUGGCUAGCCUACGCCGUAGAAAGACGUAUAAUUAAAUAAAAAGAGAGCAUUUUGAGGGUACGGAACGGUAUCUUACCUUGAGUAGUGUGGGAUGAUUUGAUCACCGAUCAGAGACUCCGGAAAUCGCCCUUUAUGCCGAAGAACCGCUGCAAAAAUCGCCUUGAUUGCCGUUCACUCUCUUCGGAAAUCGCCCGCACAGAGCUCUCGCAUUAACUUACAAUUGCAAAGUGAGCCUUGCGUCUGGAGCAACUCCUAUUUAUAGGGAGAGAGCCACAACGGUAUGCCUCGGGAGACUAAACGGCUCAUUAAUGCGCCGUCAGGCGUGCUUUUGCUGACCACGCAUCACCCGACGAAUGGCGCCGCUGACUGCACGCCAGGCACGGAAGACGAAGCGUCUCUCUGCCCUCUCGCCUCUCAGCAUCGACGACCCCUCGGGUCCCAGGUCAAUCUCUCCUGAACGAUAUCUUCCGAAAGGAUCGACACAUGCAUCCUUUCCUCCCCCCAAACGAUAUCUACCGAACGGCAGGAUAACCUCCGAACCGCCAUAGAGAACUAAAUUCUCUUCCGAAGGACCUUCGGAAGAGAACUUGGGGGACUACUGUUUAUACCGAAAUAAACGACCUAUGACCACCGAACACGUGGACGGGAUCGAUACUGAUCACAGAACCCCUUCGGCAUGCUUCCUACCGAAGCCAUCUAUCUUGGCCCUUUUUACCAUCGGACACGUGUCAUGCUCACAAUCCAUGUCCAGAGUCCCACAUCGGAAAUAUGAGCACAGUGCACACCUCCCAAGGCCUAUAUAAGAAACCCCUAUCCCCAAAAGGAAGGGAUCAGAACUAACGAUACGCUAUUGAUUGAUCUGUCAGUUAACUUUACUAAAACCGUACUUACUAAAGCAUCGGAGAGCCUUCGGCCGGUACCACACCGGUACCCCAAGGACUUACCGAACGUGUCCUUUUGUAGGUACUUACCCUUCCGAAGUAGAACAUCUACCGAAGACAGUCACCUACCGAAGGCAUAAUAUAACUAAGUUGACGAAAUACGUGCUGAACCACUUUUUCGCAUCAACAACUCUGUCAUUUUUGAUAUAAUUAAUGAGAACUCCUCUAAAAUAAGCACUCCAUCUAUGAUGACUAUAUCUUUUGUCAUUAAUAUUGUUGGCGCCAACUUUUUUUCCUGCCAAAAACCAUACAUUUAGACAAUCAACGAGACAUUUUUCCGACAACGUAUCUGUAUAUUGGAACUACAAAACAUCGCGGUGACAUUUUUCCGAGGGUUGUUAUUUUGCAAUCGGAAAAAAUGUUUUUUCCAAGCGUAUUUGUGGCCCUCGGAAAAGCUUUGUCGGUGUGAGGUGUAGUGUCACACCCAAGUAUUUUCGGUUAGGGGGAGGCCUUUGAUUCAAUAGUGGUCCCUGUGAUAUUUCAGUUUUCAAUGGUUUAGUGUGCACUUAAUUCGAACCGAUGAGAGAGAGAGAGAGAGAGAGAGAGGUCAAUUCAGGUGCAAUAAUGCAUUACCAAAAUGAAUGGAUGAAUCCAAUUUAGACAGAAGAAUGACUUGUUGUUUGAGUUUCAUUCAGCUUUUCUCUACAUCCAAACAAAAAAAGAAAACCACCAAAAAUUAUUCAUUAAACAAACUGAUAAUGUGACAAAAUCACUCCAUUUAAUCAACUGAUGAUUAGAAAGGUACAUAUAAAAAUAUAUUGAAAGAAUUAAUAGAAGAAAAUAAUUUCCAAAAUUAAUGUUUAAUUCAUGACCAUAUUAUAUGCAAAUGAACCUUUGCUACUCUCUUUAUUUAUUUAUUUAUUUAUUUUAUACUGUCGAUAUUGGAGAAGAGUAACAAAAAAAAAUGAACCCAAUUGGCUUACUUAUUUUCAGUAUAAUUUGCCUGCUACCUCAACUGAGAAAAGAAUCUAGCAACUUCUCUGUAGGCUAAAGAAAUUGAAGAAUAUUUGAAACCCACCACAAUCAAGAAGCAGAUAAGCAUGAAGUUGCAGAUGGGUACAUCCACCACCACUCCAUGCAUGCAUGCAGCAUGCUUUGUCUGAGUUCACUCCACGAGCACAUAUGCUCUUAUUUAUAAGCCAGAGAUCGUGAAGCAUUAGCUACCAGCAUUACCUCUGCUUCCUUUUCAUUUAAUUCUAUAGCAGGAUUGGUUGGUGAGGCACUUAAUUAAUUCUGCGUCAAUCUAACCUUGAUAUUAAUCUUCAUUUUCUUUUUUUCAUACCGUUAGUGGUUAUGAUCAUAAUCAGUAGUUCUAACAAGACCGUGGUCGUAUAAUGAUCGAAAUUAAGGUGGACAAAAGUUAAAAAUAAAAAAUGGUAAAACAAAAUUAAAAUUAUCCCAUCAUCAUGUGUUCUUAAGGCUCCACCAAUAUCUAUCGUAUUCAGUAUUAAAAAUGGCCCACCACAUAUACCCAAAAAAAGGAUUGUUUGGUUAGCGAUGGAGUGCAUUUUGUCGGGUUUUUGAUGGAGGUGCGAAGGGACUUACUAAUAGUCUUGCGAUCUCGGUAGAGGAAGCAGUGGAGAUACAUAAGCGAUGACCUUCAAUGAAGAAUGGAAGCAUCACUAUUAUUUUUUAUUAUAUUUUAUUUUGCUUCUUCUUUUAUCUUUAUCAUAAACUUAGAAGUAUUAGGUUCUCUAGAUUAGUUUUUGGAUACUAAUAGCAAAUCGAACUUUUGAUUAUAAUUAAUUUCCAGUUGGGUUCUAUGCAUUUAUUUCGUAGAUUUAUAGGAAGCUAAUAUGUCACUAAUUUAGAGCUGUGAAGAAUAAAUAUGAACCAAGAUGUUUACGGAAAAUUUCUAACGAAGUUUGAUUCUUUUUAUUUUAUUUUAUAUACAAACGAUAUUAGAUGAGGGGGGAAUUAAACCUAAGACCUUAAGUGCAGAGAUAAAUGCACUUGAGUUACAAGUCUCUUGCAACAAAAGUUUGAACAUGCUUUUAUCUUUAUUAAACAAAGUCAUACGAACAAAAUUGACAAAAUUACAUUUGCUAGGUCGGCUUCUAGGCCUGGCAUAACUGAGUCUAGAAGACAGAUUUUAGUAAGUAUUCUGAUGCUAAUGCAGUGUUACAUACAAGUCGUACGACCAACAUUUAUAAAUCGUCUGAACCCUUGUUUUCUCUUUCUAGUAGUUUUACACAGUUACCUAAUAAUAAUUAUAUGGCCCAAAAGUCUGUUCCUUCCUAGGUUAGGAUUUUUUUUCUUGAAUUGAUUCUAUAGCACUUGUUGCACUGUGAGCAUGAUGGAACUCACGAAUACAAGCAAUGGAGGGAUGAACCCGUCGUCGAUUACAUCAAUCGAUGACACUCGUUAAGCCUAUAUUGCAAGAAUAUGCUUUCGGAGAUAUUGAUAGUUGAGAUGUGCAUUCAAUAGAUGCAUUGGGGGUUACUCCACAUUCCAUAAGGGAUUGAACCAUGCACGUUUGAGGAGCUAGCCACUUGUGCCCAUGAUAUUGAGUUAAGUAUCACUAGCCAUGGGGAAAAGAAUGAACCUGUCAUAGAGCAUAAAAAAGAUAGUUUUUGGGCAAAAGACGGACAAGCCUACUAAGAAGCCUACCAAGGAAGCAAUGAUAAUCAACACUAUCCCUGUCAAAAUCUCCACCCAGGAUAAGAAGAGAAAAGUCAAAAGAAUGAAGUCAUCCCAAGAGGUGGACAGACGUCGAUGCACCUUGAAGGAGUUGGAGGAAAAAACGUACAAUUUCCCUAACUCCAAUUUCAUAGGUAUGCUUGAGGACUUACUCAAACAAAAGUUGAUUGAAUUGCCAGAAUGUAAGCGACUUGAAGAGAUGAAUCAAGUUAAUGACCCUAAGUUUUACAAGUACCACCGAAUUGUCAACCACCUAGUAGAUGAGUGCUUUGUGCUGAAUGAGUUGAUUAUGAAUUUGGCAAGGCAAGGAAUGAUUGAGUUGGACGUUGACAAAGUCGCAUACACAAACAUUGCUACAAUUGUGUUUGGAUCCUUUGAUCCUGUGCUGGUGCCAGCAUUGUCACCAAGAUUGGAGUUUCGAUCAACAAGGGGCAUAUACUAAGUGGAUGAUCUAUGUGCAAAAGAAGUGGUGGGCGAACCGAACUAUCGAGGUGGUGAUGGAAUCAUUGGUGACUCGUCUUUUAAUGACAAUGAAGGAUGGAAGCUCGUUAUCCGGAAGAAGUCUCGUAGGAAGCACACUCCUCAAUGACAAAAUGCUCAAUUAAAGAAGAAGCAACGAAAGAGAAGCUUGCGCCAAUGCCCUAAGAGCAAAAUCAAAAUAAUGCUGAGGAAAGACCCUAACCAAGAUGGUGAACCACUAAGCUGCAAAGUCAUCAAUCAAUGCAUAUCCAUUUUAAUUUCCACUUACGAGUCAAUAAAAAAGAUAACAAAGUAGGGCUCGAAGUAUGAUAUCAUCAAAAUUCAAAAUUAUGGCAAGACCACAUAGUUGCACACAAUAAGCUAGUCAAUAAAACCAAACAAAUGAUAAUCUUUAUAAAGAAAAGUAAAAGCCAACACAAUCUUUCCAAUCUUUUAAUAGCCAAUUUGAUGCAGCUUAAUGUCCAAUUAGCCUAAUUCAAGGGCCAGUAUGGUCAUUUCCAUUAGUUUUGAAAACUAAUGGCGCAAACAAACGAGUAAUCAUCUACAAGAAAGUAUCUUGGCCAACGUCAUAAUCUUCUCCGCCAAAUAUUAAACAAAAAAUAUCAAAAUGGCAAAAGGAGAAGAAAAGCAAUGCAACCCUCACAAUUCAACAAGUGAAUGGAGUACUCAAAGCAACUCUCCCAAAGCCAAACUCAAAAGUUUAUGAACUUGAACUUCUCACUAACCUCAAAAAAUCUGUGUUUAGAGGAGAUGAGGUGGGUACAAAGGUGCUUCGCGUCUUAGUCUUUCAACGUUUAGAGGAUCUUUCCAAUCAUCAACAAGGGAAGGUUCACACCCAAAAAAAAAAAAAAAAAAAAGGAUGACUGAAAGAACCCGCCCCGAAUUUCCCGAAACCCGAGACGAAUCCUGUGAAAUUUUCGACAUCACCCCGAUGCCGGGCCCACUUACUAAGGACGGAGACCUUCUGCCGAAAUUUCGGCAGAGUCUUCCCAAUAAAUUGGACAUUCCCAAAAUUUUAACCUGCAUAAAACACAAUUUAUAUUCCCAACUGGCAGCAUGCACAAGACAAUUUCAUGCAAUUCACAUAAACGGCCUUCGGCCUUCUAAUAAUUCUCAACAAACUACCAAGCACUCUAUCAACUCUAUUCAUACCUUAAACAAGGCAAACAAUAAUUUCAAUUAUGAAUACUAAAUGCAACCUGCAUCAUCUACUUUUCCAAUUUCAAGAUACGAGGUUUUAACCUCC
rnacentral:lncRNA from 1 species